AUUGUUGUUGUUAUUGUUGUACUCUAUGUUGUUGAGCCGAGGGCUAUGAGUGCUUGGGGAAUUGUAAUUGUUUUGAGGGAAUGUGUUGGCAUAUGGGCACAUGUGGUGCAAGUCAUUAUAUUGUGUUGUUAUAUUUUUGGCACACGUGAUAUUGUUGCUAGGAUUGUCGGGGUAUUCUCAUGUGAGUUGUCUGUGCUAUUGUUAUUGAUAAUUGUACAUGAAGCGUGACAAGUCGGGCUAUAUAUAUAUAUAUAUAUGUGUGUGUGUGUGUGUGGGUUUGCGCAUGUGGCGAGACAAGGCGGGUUAUGCGCGUGAGGCGAGACAAGGCUGUAAGGCCCCGUAAAAUAUUUCCUAAAAACCGGGGUUUCGUGAUGCAGGGUAGGCGUAUAGGUUAAUAAUAGUAGAAAUUCUUCGGACUUUUCCUAAAAACCGGGGUUCAGACUUUUUGGAUUGAACAGUGCACUGGGGAGUUAAAGGAAAAUAUUUUGCAGAGUAGGCAUUUCUGCAGCCCAUUAUGCGGCCGCAUAAUCACUCUGCGAGCUGCAGAAUGGCCGCAGAGUGAAGCAGCUACUUAGGCCAUUUUUUAUGACAAUUACGCGGCCAAUUAUGCGACCGCACAACCAUUUCGCGGGCCGCACUUUGUUUGCACAAUCAGCCUUAAAAUAUUUGCGGAGGGAGGUUCUGUGGCGCAUUAUGCGACUGCAGAACAGAUCUGCGGGCCGCAUAACGGCCGCAGAGUGAAGCAAGCAAGCCCAGUUUCGAAGGCCAUUUUUCGCGGUCAUUUCGCGGACCGUAGAAUCAUUAUGCGGUCGCAUAUGCGACCGCAGAUCCUAUCCCAGGGCUUCAUUUUUGGGUUUUUGUAACCCGACUCUACUUCGAUAAAAUAUAUGCCAUAGUCAAAUUUGAGGAAAUUUCUGAUACUUUUAGAGUGAGAAAGAGUGCUUAGUGUAGGGGAGUAACCUUCAACCUAUUAUCAAUCAAUUCUUGUUCAAUCAUUGAGGAUUUAUAAAGAAAGUCUUCAUCCUAAAGGUGAGAAUCUAUGUCCUAGCUCUCAAUUUUGAAAAUUUACAAAAAUGGGAUAAUUAGAAAGACAAUCCUUGGGUGUGGGGGUUGUUAUCUUGCAUGCAUGUGUUAUCAAAGAAUGUGGCAAGGUUGUGAGCUUAAAAUGGUAGAGAAUGGGUUGGGCAAUGAUGGAAUCUUUCACAAAAGGGCCUUAAAAACAUUAAUGCACACCUAGUGUUUGAUAAUUUGCUCAAAUGAGCUAGUAUCAUUACCAUCUUCCUAAUUUUGGUCCAACUUGUUAUAUUUCUAAAAUAGAUCGAAGUUGCUAAGAAUUCCGGAAUGUUUUAAAGUUUAAAGGAAGCUCAACUGAGGUAUGUUGGCUAAACCCCCUACUUCUUAGAAUCGAAUCCCACAACGUUCAUGUAAUGGUAUAAGUACGAAAUAGAUCAUAAUAGAAUUGGCUAUUCCGAAUGUGAUUGUGUUGAAGGAUAUAUGCUCAAUAUGUAUUGUAAAUGCUGCAUCAUAUCACCUUAUUAUUGAGGAUGUGUUCAAAAUAUGGAAUAUGUGUUAGAAAUGUUAAGACUUCAAGUCAAGAUCGAAAUAAAGGUUGAUAUGCCAAAUUCUAUGAAAAGCCUCUAUGUGCCUAAGAUUCCCAAAUUUCUCAUAUGGGAAUUCAAUGUCAUGAAUGAGAAGCCUUAUUAUUGUUGAUAAUGAUAAUGAUGUUUGAAUGUGGAAAGGGGAACUAGAAUUAUGAAAUACGGCCAAGUGCCAAGAAACAUACUUAGUCUACUCGGAACGACACCAAAUUUUUUGGGAAAGUCUUAAAUCACCAUACGGAACUUUUCCUGAUCUCGGAAUCCCAAUUUGACUAGAUAACACAAAAACCUACUCCAAACCAAAUUUAAAGAACUUUAAGACCUUCAAAGAGCCAUCUUUCUCUAUCAGGCGCCGAAACGCUCCCGGGUCAUCCAAAACCCGAUCCGAACAUACGUCCAAGUACAAAAUCAUCAUACGAACCUAUUAGAACCGUCAAAUCCUAAUUCGGAAGUAGUUUACUAAAAAUAUUAACCGAAGUCAAACUAAGCAAUUUUUGGCCACCUUAAGGAACCAAGUAUUCCGAUUUCAACCCGAACCCUUCCAAAUCCCGAACUAACCAUCCCCGCAAGUCAUAAAAUAGUAAAAGCUCAUACGGGGAGUCUUAUUUAGUGGAACGGGGUUCUAAAAAGCAAAAUGACCGGUCGGGUCGUUACAUUCUCCACCUCUUAAACAAAUGUUCAUCCUUGAACGGGUCUAGAAUCAUACCUGGAGUGCUGAAUAAGUGUGGAUGUCUGCUCCGCAUUUCCUCUUCAGACUCUCAAGUCGCCUCCUCGACUAUUUGAGCCCUCCACUGAAACUUUACCUCAAAAAUCCUCUUGGACCUCAACUGGAGAACCUGACCAUCAAUAAUGGCAACUGGCUCCUCCUCAUAACCGAGGCUCUCAUCUAACUGAAUCGUGUUGAAGUCUAACACAUGUGACCUAUCGGCAUGAUACCUCCGGAGCAUAGACACGUGGAAAAUCGGAUGAACUCCCGAUAGACUAAGAGGCAAGGCAAGCUCAUAAGCAACCUCUCCAACUCGUCUCAACACCUCAAAUGGGCGUAUAAACCUUGCGCUUAACUUGCCCUUCUUCUCAAACCUCAUGAUCCCUUUCAUCGGCGAGACUUUCAAGAGAACCUUCUCGCCCACCAUAAAUGAUAAAUCACACACCUUCUGAUCCGCGUAACUCUUCUGUCUGGACUGUGCCGUGCGAAGUCGCUCUCGAAUCAACUUUACCUUUUCUAAGGCAUCAUUCACCAAAUCAGUACCAUAUAACUUAGCCUCGCCGGGAUCAAACCAUCAGAUGGGAGACAACAUCACUGACCAUAUAAAGCCUCAAAUUGAACCAUCUCGAUGUUGGACUGAGAACUGUUAUUGUAAGCAAACUCGGCCAAAGGCAAGAAUCGAUCCCACUGCCCUCCAAAGUCAAUCACACAGGCUCUGAGCAUGUCCUCCAGGAUAUGAAAUGUCCGCUCCGACUGCCCGUCAGUCUAUGGAUGAAAGGCUGUGCUGAGCUCUCAUCGGGUCCCCAAUUCACUCUGCACUGCACUCCAGAAAUGCGAAGUGAACUGAGGGCCUCUAUCUGAUAUGUUGGAAACAGGCACACCAUGCAACCAAACUUUCUCCUGAAUAUAAAUCUGGGCCAACCUCUCUGAAGUAUACGUGGUCACCACCAGAAUGAAGUGUGCCAACUUGUUCAACCUGUCGACAAUGACCCAAACUACAUCAAACUUCCGCAAGGUCCGCGGCAACCCUACUACGGAGUCCAUAGGAAUGCCCUCCCAUUUCCACUCAGGUAUAGUCAUCUGCUGGGGUAGGCCACCUGGCCUCUGGUGCUCAUACUUAACCUACUGGAAAUUUAGACACCUCAUGACAUACUCAACCAUGUCCUUCUUCAUCUGCCGCCACUAAUAAUGCUGCCUCAGGUCGCGAUACAUCUUCAUAGCACCUAGAGGAAUAGAAUACCGAGAACUGUGUGCCUCCUCUAGAAUCCUCUCCCACAAGCCAUCGACAUUAGGAACACAUAGGCGACCGUGGAGUCGCAGAACACCAUCCUCGUCGAUAGUAACCUCCUUGGCAUCACCCUGUAGUACCGUCUCUCUGAGAACCAACAAGUGUGGAUCAUCAAACUGUCGAGCCCUGAUCUGUUCCAAUAGUGAAGACUGAGCAACGACUCAUCCAAGAACUCGGCUGGGCUUUGAAAUAUCCAACUUCACAAGUUUGUUAGUCAAGGACUGAAUGUCCAAAGCUAAGGGCCUCUUCUCUGCUGAAAUGAAUUCCAAUCUACCCAUACUCUCUGCCUUUUUGCUCAAGGAAUCCGCAACUACAUUCGCCUUGCCCAGAUGAUAAAUAAUGGUGAUAUCAUAAUCCUUCAGUAACUCAAUCCACCUGCACUAACUCAAAUUGAGAUCCCUCUGCUUGAACAAAUGUUGUAAGCUACGAUGAUCGGUGUAAACCUCACAGGACACCCCAUAAAGAUAAUGCCUCUAGAUCUUAAGAGCAUGAAAAAUCACGGCCAACUCCAAAUCAUGUACAGGGUAAUUCUUCUCAUGGGGCUUCAGCUGACGUAAAGCCUAUACAAUAACUCGCCCCUCCUGCAUCAAUACACAACCCAAAUGAAUGCGUGAAGCGUCGCAAUACACAGUAUACAUCCCCGAACCGGAAGGAAACACUAGAUUCGGUGCCGUAGUCAAAGCUGUCUUAAGCUUCUGAAAGCUCGCCACACAAUCAUCGGACCAACGGAAUGGAGCACCCUUCUGAGUUAGUCUAGUCAAAGGUGCUACAAUGGAUGAGAAGCCCUCUACAAACUGGCGAUAAUAACCUUCUAACCCCAAGAAACUCCUGAUCUCAGUCGCUUUAGUAGGACGAGGCCAACUCUUAACUGCCUCAAUCUUCUUGGGAUCCACCUUAAUACCUUCGCCUGAUACAUCAUGCCCCAAGAAUGCCACAGAAUCUAGCCAAAACUCACACUUGGAGAACUUAGCAUAUAGCUUCUGGCCCAAAAUGGUACAUUUCUAGUGGCACCGGCCGUCUCACAGGCUGGGAGAGCCGUAAGGUUUGAAGCAACACUCUCAAAUGUUGCUCGUGCUCCUCCAUGCUGCGCGAGUAGAUCAAAAUGUCAUCAAUGAAGACAAUGACGAAUGAAUCAAUAUAUGGCCUGAACACCCUAUUCAUCAAAUCCAUAAAUGCCGUUGGGGCAUUAGUCAGACCGAAGGACAUCAGUAAAAACUCAUAAUGGCCAUAUCUAGUCCGAAAAGCAGUCUUCGGAACAUCUGAAUCCCGAAUCUUCAACUGAUGAUACCCCGAUCUCAAGUCAAUCUUAGAGAACACCCUAGCACCCUGCAACUGGUCAAACAAAUCGUCAAUCCGCAGCAACGGGUACUUGUUCUUAAUGGUAACUUUGUUCAGCUGGCGGUAAUCAAUGCACAUUCGCAUAGUCCGAUAUUUUUUCUUUACAAAUAACACUGGUGCACCCCAAGGCGAUACACCCAGUCAGACGAACCCCUUUGCUAGCAACUGCUCAAGCUAUUCCUUCAACUCCUUCAACUAAUUUAGAGCCAUACGGUACGGUGGGAUAGAUAUAGGCUGGGUACCUAGAGCCAAAUCAAUGUAGAAAUUGAUAUCAUGAUUUGGUGGCAUGCCUGGAAGAUCAGAAGGAAACACAUCGGAGAACUCUCGGACUACGGGUACUAAAUCGAUCAUCGGAGUCUCUGCGGUAGUAUCCCGAACAUAAGCUAGAUAAGCCAAAUAACCCUUCUCGACCAUGUGUCGAGCCUUCAUAAAAGAGAUGAUCUGACUUGGUGUGUUGACAGACGAACCCUUCCACUCCAAUCUAGGAAACUUUGGCAUCGCCGAGGUAACAGUCUUGGCAUGGCAAUCAAGGAUGGCAUGAUAUGCGCUCGGCCCCGUUGACGAUAACCCUCAAUCCUCUGAGAUAUCUCCACAACUAGCUGGUAAGAAGUCCCCAUCUCAACCUCUCGGGCCAUAGUGGCCUGAAUGCCUGAGUGCAACCACGCAACGAAGCUCCGUACUCUCUCCAUCUCAGUUGGAAGUAUCAUAAGUGCAUGGAAAGACAACUCCGAGAAUCUCACCUCAAAGUCGGUCACUGAUAUCUGACCCUGCUGGAGCUGCUCAAACUGAAACCGCAACUCUUCCCUCUAGGAGGGUGGAAUAUACCUAUCAAAGAAAAGGUGUGUAAACUGAUCCCAAGUUAAGGGAGAAGAACCUACUGGCCUGCUAAGAAGAUGAGACUGCCACCAUCUACGGGCCCUGCCCUCCAGUGGGAAAGUUGUAAAAUCCACCCUGUGGGUCUCUAAUAUCCUCAUGUUGUGCAGUCUGUCCCUGCAUCGAUCAAUGAAGUUCUAAGGAUCCUCAUGUCGCUCACCUCCAAAGACAAGAGGGUGUAGCCUAGACCAUCUGUCCAAUAGCUUUUGCAGCUCGCCGGCCGUAGCUGGUCUGGGCUCAGGCACGACUGCUACCACUGGCUAGGCUCUGCCCACGGGUAGUGUGCUCAUGGUAUGAUAUACAGUAGCUACACGGCCACGAGCCUGAGCAGUAGGGGUCUGUGGUCCCCCUCCAGCCUCAGAUAUGGUCGGGUCUUCUGAAAACUAACCGGCUUAGGUCAUAGUAUCCAUGAACCAUAGCAUACGGCCCAUGACCUCCUAGAAGCCCGGUUCUGACAUGAGAUCUACCGGGGCUAGCUCUACUGUAGGCACCUCGCCCCACUCCUCAAUAAUGGGAUCCUCUACCGGAUCUUUUGGUGGCAUGGCUAGGGCAACUCUGGGACGUCCUCGUCCCUUCCUCGGGCUGGUGCCCUCCCCCGGCCUCUGCCUCGGCCUCUAACAACAGGGGGAGCAGCUCCUCUCAGGUCUAGAACAUUCGCCGUGCGUGUUCUCACCGUCUGUGAGAGAAUAAGAGAAAGAUAUAACAUCAAAUGCACGAUAGGAGAUGAAGAAAGAGUAGUUUCCUAACACCCUAUAGCCUCUCGAAGAUAACUACGGACGUUUCCGCACCAAUCUACAAGACUCUAUUAGGCCUGCUCAUAAAUUGUGAGACCUACGUGAACCUAGUGCUCUGAUACCAUGUUGUCACGACCCAAAUUCUCCUAUAGGCCAUGAUGGCACCCAACGUUACCGCUAGGCAAGCAAAAUAGUGAACUAAACACAUGAUUGUUUCUUUUAAUAUUUUUAAAAUAGCUGAUUUUUAGUUAGAGCAUAAAUAGAAAGUAAAAGAGUAAUAAGAUGAGAGAAAAAUAACUUUUUGUUCUUUUUGAGCAAAUGAGAUAAGUUAAAUAACCCAAAAAUCAUCAUGUAUCUACUAGCAUAAAUUCCAAGACCUGGUGUCACAAGUGUAUGAGCUACUAGUAGAAUAUACAAAAAUACUACACCACUGUCUGAAGUGAAAUAGACAGAAAAUAAAAGCAAAAGGAAGACUUCGGGUGCUGCAGAACGGGCUCGGAAGGCAGCUCACAGAUGCACCUGCCUUAGAUCCUGCAUGAUUAGGGCAGAAGAGUAGCGUGAGUACAUAAACAACAUGUACCCAGUAAAUAUCUAGUCUAACCUCGAAGAAGUAGUAAUGAGGGGUCGACUACGACACUUACUAUGGGUUAACAAUAAAAUACUAAAAUUAUAAUUAAGCAUGGACUAUAUAAAUACAGCUGAAAACUCAAUAACAAGAAAUAAAUGACAAUUCUUUCACUAAUAGUAAAUCCCAAAUUAAUUUCCAUCAUUUAACAAAUUAAUCUCUCAAGCCAAUGAAACAAUAUCAAUUAUAAUUGGGCUCCAAGAAUUAUUACGCAUGAAUUAUACCGAGGUCGUACGGCCCGAUCCAACAUACAAAUAUAUAAACUGUGUACUGCCGAGGGUCGAACGGCACGAACCAUAAAUGCAUCUAUUAAUCUACCGAGGUGAACGGCCCGCUCCCAUGAGAGUAGUGAAAUUUUACCUCGCUCGCGGAAAAUACUUGCGACGCAAGUAAACAUAGAUACCUCAAAGUUAUCAUAAUAUUCUUCAAUCCUUUCCAAAAAUAAGGAAUCUAAGCUGUAACUUUAAAUCUUGAAAUCCUCAAUCUCAGCUCUUAUUCAAUGCAAUUAAAAACCAUGAUCAAAUAACGGAGUCAAUAAUGCAUGAUGUAAACUUAAGACUACCCGGACAUCACAUGGAAUAUAGCUACGCACGGACUCUCAUCACCUAGUACGUACGUAGCUCCCCACACAAAUAAUUUACAACACAACACACCUAAGUGGAUGAGUUCCCUCUUACAAGGUUAGAAAAGAGACUUACCUCGUGUCAAAGCUUACUUUCCGGUCCACAAUUAUGCUUUAAACCCUCAACUCGGUGCCAAACGACUCGAAACUAGUCAAAUGUUAUAUAAAAUAAUCAAUACAUGUUCAAAAGUUCAUAUCCUAACUAUUACACUGAUUUACCAACACUAAUUGAAGAAUUCCUAAAUUCAUCCUCGGGCCCACAUGCCCGGAUUCCAGAAAUAUUUGAAGAAAGUUGUUACCCAUAACCUCAUGAACUCAAAUAUAUGAUUUUCACUAAAUUCCAUACCCAUUUUCGUGGUUAAAUCUAAUUUUUAUCAAAAAUCUAGGUUUUUCAUCUAAACCCAUGAUUUCACAAAUUUUACAUGUUAAAUCAAUUCAUAAUUUAUGUAUUUAACUCACAUUAUGUAGAAAUUACUUAUCUCAAAGUGUUAGGUGAAAACCCCUCUCUAAGUACUCCAAGUGUUAGGUGAAAACCCCUCUCUAAGUACUCCAAGUGUUAGGUGAAAACCCCUCUCUAGGUCUCUUUUAGUUGAAUCAAUGAUUUUAUCGCUAUGGUUAACUAUGCCAACGUCACCUUGUUACUUAUUAGGAUAUAACUCCUAGAACGCUGCUACUGAACACAUUGAUGGGUUCUUGAACAAUUCUAUCUCAAUAUCAAACCUCACUAUUCCUAUUUGUAUUAAAUCUAUCGGGGUUGAAGGUUUAGACAUGUAAAAAGUAUCACUCCAUGUUAAAACAUUGGGCAUGAAACUCUAUGGUCAUAUUCAUCCAAACACAUCGUAGAAUAAGGAGGAGGAGGAGGAGGAGGAGGUUGAAGGCCGCCAAAAGGCUAAUUAAGAUGAACUUCAUAUAAAUUUAGAGUGGGAGGAAGUGAAUGGGUGUUUCUUAGGAUUUUCUCCAUGAAGACGUUAUGUGAUUUUUUUUAAUAAAGGUAAAUAGAGUGCAGUGCACAUUGGGCCUUGUAAAAUCUUGAAGAAAAUACGCCAAGUACCCUAUGAGCUUGAUUUCAAUAAUCAUUGUCCUUCAUGCAUCUAGUGUUUCAUGUGUCCCUGUUGAAGUAAGUGAUUGGGGAUUUGUCACUCAUUUCCCCUAUGGAUAAUGUUGGAAUUUGUGAGGGUAUGACCCAUGAAGAGGUUUCUAUUUCCAUGCUUGUUAGGCAAGUUCAUAAGUUGAGAAGAUAAAGAGAUUGCCUCUGUCAAAGUGCUAUGGCGGAAUCAACAAUGUCGAAGAGGCCACAUGGGAAGCCGAGGAAGAUAGGACAGGAAAGUGUCACCACUUGUUGUAUAACCCAAUGAUUGUGUUUAAAAGAAUGUUAGAGGUGUACUAUCUAUGAGUAAUGUUUUAAACCCGUGUAGCUUAUGUUAAAAUGCCCCAUUUGGUAAUGUAAUACUUGUAAUGUUGAGAUUUGUGUUAUUCAUAUGUUGUGAUGCUUUCUUCAGUUGUGGAUGUAUUGUUAGGAUUGGUUUCUGUGGCUCUCUAAUAGGUGGAUAGGCUUAAAAAUAGGGAAACUCUACCAAAAGUUUUGUAAGUUUGGUGAGUUAGCAAAAUUUGGAACUCUUAAUGUGUGGAUGAAGAGCUAAGUCAUGUCGGGUGUUUAUGGAAGACUCUAACCCUCAUUCGAGGAUGAAUAAUCCUAAGCGGGGGAGGAUGUGAGGCCUCUCAAAUUUCCAUUGAGUCUGAGGCUAUAAAGCACACUCAGAAGUCGCUUAAAUGUCGUCUGGCCUUCCACAAAAGAUUAUGGACUGGAACAACUUAGAUGAUCAUGAUAUUAAAUGUUGGAGGUGUAUUGGAAGUUAUUUAGGUGGUGAUAUACCUAUCCAAUUAAAGAUCUUUGAGUCUAAUUUCUAAUGCACCAAACCAUUUGUCAUUUGGAUAUUUCUACAGAAAGUAAUUGUAAUUUUACCGGACCUGUCCCAUCUGCGUGCCCAGAUGCGCGGCAACGCACAGAAGAGGGGUUUUCUACCUUGUAUGUGUGCCCAACUGUGUGUUCAAUUGCCCAGGUGUGCGGCCGUGUGCAUAGGAACCCUAUAAAUACCCCCAAGGUCAGGGAGAGAGAGUGGCUAACUCAUUUCCUUGAGCUAGGGCUUGCUCUAACAAAGGGAAUCCAUCCUACACAUCCCUACCAUGAACCAAGGUAAUGUUUUUGGAGUAUUUUGAGUUGAUUACUACUCCUAAACACUUUUAUUAACAAGGAUUAAUCUUGAAGAUCCAUAGAUUUCCAUUCAAAUUCACAAAUUGGUCAAGAACACUACAAGUUAGGAAUUUUCAAGAGUUUCACUAUAAGAGGCACGUCCACCAUCUCUAUCCAAUUUAUGGUGAUUAUUUAUGUAUGAAAUAUGUGUUAAGGCUUAUGGGAUGGUGAUUGGAAGCCAUAAGUGCCUAACCUAGGUUGUGUUGGUGUUGUAGAGAUUGUAAAAUAGUUUAAUAGAUGAGAUUGAUUGGUUGAGAGUGAAUUGUUGGCCAUGUGUGUGCCAAUAGGAGGUGGUAUGUGGGGUUGUUGAACUAUUUCGGGUAGAUUCUUGUUGAAAUCGGUUGAGAGAGGAAGGGAUUACCAUUGUAGAGCCUUGUAAGCGAUUUUGUAUAGUAGUAGUUUGAUGAAAUUCCAAAGAGGCUUAUAUUAUGAGAAUCCUUCUAAUUAUGAUUCGAUUUUUAUCAUCUUCCUGUAAAUUGAAAUUUCUCGGAGUAUUGGACAUUGUAGUAAUUCUAAGGAAAUCUCAAAUGAGGUAUGUUGGCUAAACCCCCUUUCCACAAUCGGAAUCCAUGAGUUCCUCGUAAGUUCCAAAUGUGGUUGUUUAAACUUCUAUUCCUACUGUUCCAAAUUGCUUCAAUGACUGAAGUGCAUAAAUGUUUAUGUGCUGGAGUCAUGUUCAAAUGGCCCCUAUCAUUUUAUGCUCCCCCUCCGUGGGAAAAUGUCCAAAUAUGGUUGUUGUAACUAAUGCUUAGGAUUUAAAUCCAUGUUUGCAUUAUAAAUCACCAUUCUCUCUCUUGUAAGUGUUUCCAACGUGUUUGAGUUCUUACAUACUCACUAGUUAAAGCUAAAAGACAUCAUGCACCCCUUUGGGAAAAGUAUUCCAAGAAUAAAUUAUGUAUUAAUCGCUUAAGAUUCUAACUUGUAUUUCAAUUGCCAAUCAUAAUGCUCAACUCCUUGAAAGAAAUUCAAUGUGUUUAAGUCACUCAUUACUAAUGAACUUAAAGCUAUAAUUUUUGGAAUGUCUAUAUAUUGGUGUUUAUGAUAAUGAUCAUUGGAUUUAAAGAAAUGAAAGUGUGAAUUAUGAAAUGCGGUCAUCGUGCCAUGAAUGAAUAACAUAAUGUAUGGCCAAGAGUGCCAACGAAAUGAAGAUGUUGUGAAUGGUUAAAAGUGCCAAUGAAGCGACGAAUGGUAUGAAAGACUAUGAGAUGAAUACAAUUAUUUUUCUAGCCUCGUACCUUGGGGUGACACGGCUUAGCCGAUCCGGCAGAGAUAAGACUCCAUGUUGUGCACAUGGAGGUGUUGUGGUUUGAUGUUGAGCCUCAUACUUUGGGAUGGGACGGCUUAGCCGAUCGAGCAGAGAUCAGACGCCAUGUAGCGCACAUGGUGGUGUUGUAUUUUCAUGUCGAGCCUCCUACUUUUCGGUGAGAUGGCUUAGCCGAUCGGGCAGGGAUCAGAUGCCAUGUCGCGCACAUGGUGGUUUUGUGCUUUGAUGUCGAGCCUCAUACAUUGGGCUGAGAUGGCUUAGCCAAUCGGGAAGAGAUCAGACUCCGUGCUAUAAGCAUUGUGGUGUAUCGGUGCUGAUGAUCUCCCAACCAAAAUUGUUAAUACUUAAUUGGAAUUGAUUGUGUUUUAACUUGGUAUUUAGUAUUAUUUGAGUUUCUUAUUGAUUCCAUGUUUCUCUCCUUUUAUGUUGGUACUCUACUCCAUGAGAGGGUAUUUGGUUUUACAUACUAGUACGAUUUCAUGUGUACUAACGUCCCUUUUGCCGAGGAAACUCCAUCUUUAAUGGAUGCAGGUGGUUCCAGAGCAGGCGACAUCGAUUAGUGCUAGCGGUACACCCUCUUCUCAGUUGACUUGUUGAGCCCCAAUACAUAUUAGGUUCUUGUGUCUUUUGCUUCUUAUGUAUAGUUUUUUGAGGUAUAGCUGAGACCUUGUUGACAGCACUAUCAUAUUACUCUUUGUAUCAAUUAGAGGCUCCGCAGACAUAGUGUGGUUGUAUUUUGAUUUGGGAAAGUCAAACUAGAAAUGUUGUACCUGUAAUACAUGUUUCGACUUCUAAACUACGAAUGUGUAAUGUAUUUUGAGAAUUAUUUAAAUGGGGUUUCUAAAAGAGAUGAAAUUGGUAUUGUACAUGUUACUCUUUCGUUGUCUAACUUGUGAAAUUAUUCUUUGCAUUAUUCAUGGGUACGGUUGGGUAGGAAGAAUCAAGUAGGCUUGCUUAAUUAGGAUAUCUCGGUUGAGCAACCGGUCGCGCUCCCCAAGGUCAGGGUAUGACUGUUGCAAAACAUGCCCCACAGGCGCGGAGGGGGGACCGUAGAUUCGCAUGGUCAUAAUUUAAGUAGGUUCCGUAGAAGAGGGAUUUUCACCGCAAAAGCAGCGUUGUAGGUGCGACUGAGUGAGCCGCAAAUGUGGAAAUCGCUGGGCAGAAGGCUUAAAGUGGGGGGUUUGGUCAUUUUCCUCAUAGUUGAAUUUUAUACCUCAAUUGGAGGUGAUUUUUGAGAGCCUUUUUGCUACAAUUGGAGAAGUAAGUGAAGUUUAAUUACUUUUGAUGAUAUAUAUUAAUUACCCAUUGAUUAUUACACCUAGUUAUGUGAAUUUAAGGUGAAAUUUGGGUAUUUUAGACUAUGUUAUAGGAGAAUGAGAUUUGGUGAUUUGGAAGUCGAUUUGUAGUUGGAAUUGGAUGAAAUCAGUAUGGUUGGACUCGUAAUUGAAUGGGUGUUCGGAAUUUGUAAGUUUUGUCGGGUUCCAAGGUACGGGCUUGGGAUUGAUAUUUUGGGUUAACUUUUGAUUUUGGUUAAAGAUCUUAGCUUUAUCAUUAGGAUUCAGUUCCUAUGGCUUUUAUUGAUUAUAUUAAGUUAAUUUGGAUAGAUUUGGAUCGUCCGGAGGUUGAUUCACGCGGGAAGGGCUUGUUAGAUAAGUGACUUGGUUUUCUUGAGGUAAGUAUGUUACCUAAACUUGGUUGAGGCACUAGUUGCCUGAAUUAUUUGUGAUAGCUAUGUGCUAUGGGUGAGCAUAUGUGUGGGGAUUGGGCCCAUGUGCGAUCACCGGGGUAUUUAUCUAUGCUCGGAGUAGUGCUUAGGCUAUGGCAUGCCUUAAAUUGAUUGUUACGCUUUAAGCUGUGAUGUGUUUCAUAGUUGUACCUUGUUGUGAGCUAACUGAUCCAUGUUUUGAGAUUACAUAGAGUCUAAUCUCCUGAUUGAACUUGAUAUUUGCUAUUUUCGUGAUGAAAUUGCCAAUUUGAGCUGUGAUAGCACACUUUGCACAUGCAUACACUUUAGCAUGUCACUUAUACCAUUCCAGGAGCAUGAAAACCAAUAUUUAUUUAUCAUAUACAUAUGUUUGUGUAUAUUUGAUUCCAUGUUAUAUGAUAUGGACUACAUGUCGGUGACCGCGCCUGGCGGAUUGUGUUGUUAUGUCUGUGACCACACCGUGCGGAUUGUGUUGUUAUACAUGUGACCACACCGAGCAGAUUGUGUUGUUAUGCCUGUGACCAUGCCGGGCGGAUUGUGUUGUUAUGCUUGUGACCACGCCGGGCAUAUUAUGUUAUUGAGAUUGUGAUAAUGCUAGGUGGAUUAUGAUAUUGAGCCUGUGACCACGCCGACCUGAUAACACGUUGAAUUUCUCCGUGCUGCGUGUAGAUAUGGAUUCAUUCCCCUAGGUUCACCCUAUCAUGUUUCUCUCUUGAUGGUGUACAUGCACAUUGAGGAAAACUUAUCAGUGGUUUGGUACUGUAUUGGAAAUUCUGAGGAAAAUCUCGCUAGUGUUAUUUGGCAAUUGCAUUGCAUUUGUACUUGCAAUUUCCAUGAUUAUUUACCUGAUUUACUUGCAUAUCAUCUUUAUAUGCUGGAUCACUGACUGAGCAGAGUACUUGAAAAAUUUUGGGUACCAAGGUGGUUUUAUCCGUGUUUUCUUAUUUGUUCAUAUAUAUGUUUGUACUUGUUAAAUUUAUGAAUUGUACAGGUCAUAUCAAGUAUCAUCUAUAAUUCUUGCAUCUUUUACCUCUCUGAGAUUAGUUAUGAUACUUACUGAGUACAUGGGAUCAGUUGUACUCAUCACUCUACACUUAAUUUUGCAAAUCCAGGUGUCGAACCCAGUCAUUAGUAGCAUAGUUGCUUGCUGAGAUGAUCAUCGAGAGACGAGGUAGAACUACAUUCUCCACCGCAAUAUUGGAGUCUCAUUUCUUAUGUGUUGUUGUCUUUAUUUAAGAAAGUAUUGUAUUUGGCCAUUUCAGACUUAUAUUUUUGUAUUAAAGCUCAUGACUCUGUAUUUACUAGUUCUGGAGGAUUUUUCAUGUAUUAGUACAAUUAUGCUGUAUUAAGGAUUUAGACUUAUGUUAUUCAUGUCAUUUAUGCUAUUAUGGUUCAUUAUUGUUAUGCCUGGCUUGCCUAGAAAGUGUGUUAGGCGCCAUCAAUACUGGUUAAGAUUUUGGGGUCGUGCCAAGUUGUUAUCAGAGCCUUAGGUUCAUAGGUAUUACGGGUCAUGAGCAAGUUUAGUAGAGUCUUACGGAUCGGUGCAGAGACGUAUGUACUUAUAUUAGAGAGGCUACCAAUUUGUUAAGAAAAUAUUCAAUUUCUUGUAUUCUUGUCAUACGGAUUUGUUAAUUCCGAAGUUUGAUCCUUGACUCUUUUAUUCUCUCAUAGAUAGUGAGGGCACGUGCAGCCGAAUCAGGGGAACGGCCACUAGUACAAACAUGUAGGGCCGCGAGAGGUCGGGGUCGCGGUAGAAGGCGAGGUGGGGCUUGCACUACAGCUAGGGCACCACUUGUGGACCCACUAGUCGCUCUAGCUAAGGAGCAGGUUCUAGAUACGUGAAACCGGUAGAACUAGCUCAAGAACCAGCAAUUCCUAUUGCCAUUCCUUGCCUUCAGGUGGCCUUGGCACAGAUUUUGAUUGUGCGCAUGAACCUGGCACAGGUGGUUUCAAUCCCAGUUGCACCAACUACCCCACAUGCAAGGGGAGAUGCCUAGACACUAGCCGCCCGUACUCCAGAGAAGCUAGCUCAAGGUCAUCAGACACCGGGGGUGUUACCACUUCAUCCGAUUAUUGUUGCUCGGGCCGAGGUUGGUCCACCUAUGAGUGAUGAAAAGCAGAAGAGGUUGUAGAGGUUUGGGAGGCUUAAGCCUCUAGAGUUUAGCAAAGGGGAGUUAGAGGAUGCUCAUGAUUUUCUUGAUCAAUGUCAACGAAUUCUUCUCACAACGGGUUUUGGAAACCAACGGGGUUGCAUCUACUUCUUUUUAGUUGACAGGGGCAUCCUACAGAUGGUGGUCGUCUUAUGUGUUGAGUAGGACAGCUGACGUAGCGCCACUUACAUGGCAUGAGUUCUCACUUUUCUUCUUAGAGAACUUUGUUCCACAGACUCGCAGAGAGGAGUUGUGUAGGGAGUUUGAGCAUCUACGACGGGAGGGCAUGACUGUGACCAAGUAAGAGAUGAGAUUUGUAGAUUUUGCACGACAUGCUAUAUGGUUGAUUCCCACUAGGAUGGAGAAGAUUAGGAGGUUCAUUGAUGGCCUCAGCUAUGAUUUACGUUAUAGUAUGGCUCGAGAGGUUGCGACGGAUGCUAGGUUUGAUCGAAUUGUCGAGAUUGCUAGAUGCUUGGAGCAGGUUCGCAGGCUGGUGUGUGAAGAGCGGGAGGCCAAGAGGCCUCUUGGUUCAGGUGGUUUCAACAAUGCCUCAUCUAGAAGCCAGUCCCAUUAUAGCAGAGGUCGUCCUUCUAGACCCAAUCGAGCAGCUCGUCAUGUUCCUCGUGGCUCUUCAGUUAGCCACAGUUCCUACAGUGCACCCCCAGCUUAGUUAUCAUUUAGUGCGUUAUCGGCAUAGAGUUCUUACUGUUCUACAUCUGCUCAGAUUUCCACAGGCAGUUCUUUGGUCUAUCAGGGUCAGAUGCUACAAGAGGGGUUGUUAUGAGUAUGGAGACUUGAAUCAUCUGAAGAGGGAUUCCACCAUUCUAUUGAGUAGGGUCCCAUAGCAGAGCUCUCAGCCUAUGAUGUGAACACCAGCAGCCACACCACCCACAUAACCACCUUAGGAUGGGGCUGAGUCAACACUAGGUCGCCCUAGAGGGUGAGGCCGUCUAGAUAGUGGUUAGGCCCGUUUCUAUGCAUUUCCAGUCUGGCUAGAUGCAGUUGCUUCGGACUCCAUGAUCACAGGUAUUGAUUCAGUGUGCCACAGGCAUGCUUUAGUGUUAUUUGACCCUGGUUUCACUUAUUCAUAUGUGUCAUCAUACUUUGCUCGUUACUUGGAUAUGCCUCGUGAUUAUUUAGUUAUGACUAUUCAUGUAUCUAGAUCGGUGGGUGAUUAAAUUUUUGUGGAAUGUGUGUAUCGGUCAUGUGUGGUGACAAUUGGGGGUUAUGACAUGAGAGUCGAUAUUCUACUUCUUAGCAUGGUUGAUUUUGACGUGAUUUUAGGCAUGGAUUGGUUGUCGCCAUGUCACGCUAUUCUUGAUUUUCACGCUAAGAACGUAUCGUUGUCGAUGCCUGGGUUGCCUAGGGUGUAAUGGAGAGGUUCCCUAGAUUAUGUUCUAAGUAGGGUGAUUUCAUACUUGAAGACAUAACGGAUGGUUAAGAAUGGGUGUCUAGCGUACUUGGCCUUUGUGAGGGAUGUUAAUGCUGAUACUCCUACCAUUAAGUUAGUUCUACUGGUGAGAGACUUCCCAAAUGUAUUUCUAGCAGACCUGUCGGGCAUGCCACUCGACAGGGAUUUGUAUUGAUCUGGGCUGGGCACUCAUCCCAUCUCUAUUUCACCGUAUCAUAUGGCACCUAUGGAGUUGAAGGAGUUGAAGGAACAACUUUAGGAGUUGCUUUAUUAGGGCUCCAUCAGUCCUUGCCUUGGGGUGCACUGGUUCUAUGUUUUAUGAAGACGAAUGAUACUAUAAGGAUGUGUAUUGACUACAGGCAGCUGAACAAGGUUACAGUUAAGAAAAAGUACCCACACUGUGCAUUGAUGACUUGUUUAAUCACCUUCAGGGUGCUAGAGCAUUCUCGAUAAUUGAUUUGAGAUCGAGGUAUCAUCAGUUGAAGAUUCGGGAUUCGAACAUUCUGAAGACAGCUUUGAGGACCCACUAUGGUCAUUAUGAGUUUCUGGUGAUGUCUUUUGGGUUGACCAAUGCCCCAACAACCUUUAUGCACUUGAUGAAUAGUGUGUUCUAGACGUAUCUUAAUUCUUUUGUCAUCGUGUUCAUUGGCAACAUAUUGGUGUACUCUCGUAGCCGGGAGGAUCAUGAGCAGCAUCUGAGGAUCGUACUCCAUACUUUGAGGGAGAAGAAUCUAUAUUCUAAUUGAUCCAAGUGUGAGUUUUCGCUUGAUUCAAUGGCAUUUUUGGGGCACGUGGUGUCCAGUGAGGGGAUUAAUGUAGAUCCAAAGAAGAUUGAGGUAGUUUAGAGUUGGCCCAGAACGUCUUCUGCUACUGAGAUUUAGAGCUUCCUUGGUUUGGCCGGGUAUUAUUGCCAUUUUGUGAAGGGUUUCUUAUCCAUUGCUGCACCUUUGACUAGAUUGACCCAGAAGGGUACUCCAUUCAGGUUGUCUAAUAGGUGUGAGGAGAUCUUUUAGAAGCUCAAGACUGCUUUGACUACAACUCCAAUUUUGGUUUUACCUUUAGGAUCAGGUUCUUAUAUGAUCUAUUAUGAUUCUUCUCAGAUUGGCAUUGGAUGUGUAUUGAUGCAGGAGGAUAGAGUUAUUGCUUAUACUUCGCUUCAUAUGAUGCCCCAUGAGAAGAAUAACCUUAUUCAUGAUUUGGAGUUGGUAGCCAUUGUUCACACAUUGAAUAUUUGGAGGCAUUAUCUUUAUGGUGUGUCAUGUGAGGUAUUCACGGAUCAUAGGAGUGUCCAGCACUUAUUCAAGCAAAAGGAUCUGAACUUGAGGUAGCGUAGGUUGUUAGAGCUACUUAAGGACUAUGAUAUCAACAUUAUUUAUCCCCCGAGAAAGUCCAAUGUUAUGGCCGAUACCUUGAGUAGGAAGGCCGAGAGUAUGGGGAGUCCUGUUUAUCUUUCAAUUGGGGAGAGAACGUUAGUAUUGGAUGGUUAGGCUUUGGCCAAUCGGUUCGUGAGGUUGGAUAUAUUGGAGCCCAGCAGAGUUCUUGCUUGCAUGGUUUCACGGUCUUCUUUGUUUGAGCGCAUAAAGGUGCAUUAGUAUGGCGAUGCCAAUUUGCUUUUCCUAAAAGACACGAUUCAGCAUGGUGAUGCUAGAGAUGUUACUAUAGGAGAUGAUGGGGUAUUGAGGAUGCAGUGUCGGAUCUGUGUUCCAAAUGUGGAUGUGUUACGUGAGUUGAUUCUUCAGGAGGCCCAUAGUUCGUGGUAUUAAAUUCAUACGGGUGGCGCGAAGAUGUAUCAGGACUUGAGGCAGCACUACUGGUGCUGGAGGAUAAAAAAGAUAUUGUUGUAUAUGUUGUUUGGUGUUUGAGCAGUCAGCAGUUCAAGUACGAGCAUCAGAGACCUGGUGGUUUGCUUCAUAGACUUAUUCCGGAGUGGAAGUGGGAGCAUAUCACGAUGGGUUUUGUAGUUGGGAUUCCAGGGACAUUAAAGAAAUGUGAUGCAAUGCUGGUUAUUGUGGAUAGACUAACCAAGUCUGCACACUUCAUUCCAGUUGUGACUACCUACUUUUCAGAGCAGCUGGCUCAGAUUUACAUUUGUGAGAUUGUUCGCCUUCAUGAUGUGCACAUGUCUAUUAUCUUGGAUCGAGGCACUCAGUUACGUCACAGUUUUGGAUAGUUGUUUAGCAAGAGUUGGGCACACAGGUAGAGCUGAGUACAACAUUUCAUCCCAGACAGACAGACAAUCUGAGUGCACUAUUCAGAUAUUGGAGGACAUGUUGUGUGCAUGCGUCAUUGAUUUUGGGGGUUCAUGGGAUUAGUUUCUUCCAUUAGCAGAGAUUACCUACAAUAAUAGCUUUCAGUCGAGUAUCCAAAUGGCUCCUUAUGAUGACUUAUAUGGGAGGAUAUGUCGCUCUCAUGUUGGUUGGUUUGAGCAUGGGGAGGCUAGCUUGUUGGUCACUAAUUUGGUUCGUGCAUCCUCGGAGACGGUCUAGGUUAUUCAGGAGUGGCUCCGUACAGUACAGUCCAUGUAGAAGAGUUAUGCUGAUAGAAAAGUUUGCGAUGUUGCAUAUUUUGUGGGUGAGAAGGAUUUGCUUAGAGUUUAGCCCAUGAAGGGUGUGAUGAGAUUCGAGAAGAAAGGCAAGUUGGGCCCUCGGUAUAUUUGUCCUAUUGAGGUGCUUGAGAGGGUUGGAGAGGAGGCCUACAGACUUGCAUUGCCACCUAGUCUAUCAGGUAAUCACCCAGUGUUUCAUGUUUCUAUGCUCCGAAAGUAUCAUGGUGAUCUGUCUCAUGUUUUGGACUUUAGUACGGUGCAGCUGGACAUGGAUCUGACUCAUGGUGUCGAGCCGGUGGCCAUUUUGGGCUGGCAGGUCCAGAAGUUGAGGUCGAAGAAUAUAACCUCGGUGAAGAUUCAUUGGAGGGGUCAGCCAGUGCAAGAAGAUAAUUGGGAGAUUAGCGGGAGAAGCGGAGCAGAUAUCCACACCUAUUAAGACUCCAUGUAUGAUUCUAGAGUCGUUCGAGGACAAAAGUUUGUUUAAGAGGGGGAGAAUGCAAUGACUCGGCCAGUCGUUCUAUGUAUUGUAGCCCUAUUCCCCUAUUUAUUGCUUCUUUUGUGUUCAUUUGUGGUUAUGUGACUUUCCGGGGUGGUUAGAUUGGUUUCAAAAAGGUCUUGGAGGGAAUUGGGACACUUAGUCCCAAGGUUGAAGGCUUAAGUGAAAGAGUUGACUGGAGUUUAACUUUUGUGUAGACGACUCCGGAAUUGUGUUUUGAUAUUUCCAAUAGGUUCGUAUAGUGAUAUGUUCGGAUGUUGAUUUGGAGGUUUGUAGGUUGAUUUGUUUUUUUUUGGGGAAAGUUAAAGGUUUAGAAGAUUGUGAGGUUUGACAUAGAGUUGACUUUGUGGAUAUUGGGUUCAGAUUUAAUUUUCGGGAGUUGGAAUAGGUUCGUUGUGUCAUUUGGGACUAGUGUGCAAAAUUUGAGAUCAUUCGUAGUUGAUUUGGUCUGGUUCGGCAUGAGUUUUAGAAGUUGGAAGUUCAUUAGUUUCAUUAUGCUUGAAUUGGGGUGCGAUUCAUGGUUUUGGUGUUGUUUGAUGUGAUUUAAGGCUUUGAGUAAGUUCGUAUUAUGUAUUAGGACUUGUUGUAAUAUUUGGUUGGGGUCCCGAGGGCCCCAAGUGUGUUUCGGAUGAGUUGCAGAUCACAUUUGGACUUAGAGGUUUUUGCUGAAGAAAUUUCUCUUUUGGUGUUUUCGCACCUGCGGUAGGAUUGGUCGUAUAUGCGGAGCCGCAAAUGCGUCCAUUUGUGCGUAGGUGUUGGGUUGGCCUAGUUGGGGGAAUGAUCUCACAUGUGCAAAGGUUUCUGCAGAAGCCGAGGAUGAGUUCGCAGAAGCGAUGUUUGGCUAAAGCUGGGGAAGAGCGCAUGUGCUGGGGAUUUUCUGCAUCUGCGAGCCCACAGAUGCGGGAAGGUAAGUGUAGAAGCGGAGAAUGGACGGAGACCUAGGAGUCCGCAGAUGUGGAAGGGUCAGUCGUAGAAGCAGUUCCGUAGGUUCAGAGAUGGGACCACAUAUGCACAUGGUCGGGAUUUAAGUGGGUUCCACAGAAGCGGAAUUUUAACCAUAAAAGCAGCGUCGCAGGUGUGACUGAGUGAGCCGCAUAUGUGGAAAUAAGUGGGCAGAAGACUUAAGCGAGGGUUUGGUCAUUUUCCUCAUAGUUGGAAUUUUGGAGCUCGGUUGGAGGCGAGUUUUGAGAGUUCUAUUGCUACAAUUGGAGAGGCAAGUGAAGUUUAAUCACUUUUGAUGAUAUAUAUUGAUUACCCAUUGGUUAUUACACCUAAUUAUGUGAAUUUAAGGUGAAAUUUGUGUAUUUUAGACUACGUUAUUGGAGAACGAGAUUUGAUGAUUAGGUAGUCGAUUUGGUGUUGGAAUUGGGUGAAAUUAGUAUAAUUGGACUCGUAAUUGAAUUGGUAUUCGAAAUUUAUAAGUUUUGUCGGGUUCCGAGGUGCGGGCCUAGGGUUGACUUAUUGGGUUGACUUUUGAUUUUUGUUAUAGAUCUUAGCUUUCUCAUUUGGAUUCAGUUCAUGUGGCAUUUAGUGAUUAUAUUAAGUUGAUUUGGCUAGAUUCGAAUCGUCUGGAGGAAGAUUCACGCAGGAAGGGCUUGUUAUAUGAGUGACUUGGCUUUCUUGAGGUAAGUAUCUUACCUACACUUGGUUGAGGCACGAGUUUCCUAAAUUAUUUGUGAUAGCUAUGUGCUAUGGGUGAGCAUAUGUGUGGGGAUUGAGCCCAUGUGCGAGCACCGUGGUAUUUAUUCAUGCUCGGGGUAGUACUUAGGCUAUGACAUGCCUUGAAUGGAUUGUUAGGCUUUAAGCUGUGAUGUUUUUCAUAAUUAUACCUUGUUGUGAGCUAAUUGAUCCAUGUUUUGAGAUUACAUAGAGGAUAAUCUCUUGAUUGAACUUGAUAUUUGCUAUUUUCAUGAUGAAAUUGCCGAUUAGAGCUAUGAUAGUACAGUUUGCACAUGCAUAAAAUUUAGCAUGUCACUUAUACCAGUCCAGGAGCAUAAAAUCUUAUAUUCAAUUAUCAUAUACAUGUAUUCUUGUAUAUUUGCUUAUGUGUGAUAUGAUUUGGACUGGAUUCAUGUGACCAUAUCGGGCGGAUUGUGUUGUUAUGCAUGUGACCAUGCUGGGCAGAUUAUGUUCUUAUGAAUGUAACCACGCUGGGCGGAUCGUGUUGUUAUGCCCGUGACCAAGACCGGUAGAUUAUGAUAUUGAGCAUGUGACCACGUCCAGCAGAUUAUGAUAUUGAGCCUGUGAAUACAUUGGGAUGAUAGCACGUUGAAUUUGUUCGUGCUGCGUGUGGAUAUGGAUCCAUCCCCUAGGGUCACCCUCUCAUGUUUCUAUCUUGAUGGUGUACACGCAGAUUUGGGAAAACUGAUCAGUGGUUUGGUACUAUAUUGUAUAAUCUGGCCAGUUUUUUUUGGUUAUUGCAUUUUAUCUUUACAUGUAAUUUUCAUGAUUAUUUACAUGAUUUACUUCCAUAUCAUCUUUAUAUGCUAGCAUUGACUGAGCAUAGUACUUGACAAAUUGUGGUCACAAAGAUGGUUUAUACGUGUUUUCAUGAUUUGUUCGUAUAUUUGUUUGUACUUGUUAAACUUAUAAACUGUACAGGUCAUAGCAAGUAUCAUCUAAAGUUCUUGCUACUUUUACCUCGCCGAGGUUAGUUAUGAUACUUGUUGAGUUCAUGGGGUUGCCUGUACUCAUGCUACACUCUGUACUUAAUUAUAUAGAUCCAGGUGUCGGACCCAGUCAUUAGUAGCGGAGUUUCUGGUUGAGCUAAUCAUGGAGAAACGAUGUAGAACUGCAUUCUCGACCGCAGUCUUGGCAUAUCUUUUUUUAUGUACUGUUAUCUCUAUUUCAGACAAUAUUGUAUUUGGCCAUUUCAGACUUGUAUUUCCGUAUUAGAGCUCAUGACUCUAUAUUUACCAGUUCCGGUGAUUUAUCAUGUAUUGGUACUAUUAUGCUAUAUUAAGGAUUUAGACUUAUGUUAUUUCUGUCUUUCUGCUAAUAUGGUUCAUUAUUGUUAUGUCCGGCUUGCCUAGCAAGUGUGUUAGACGCCAUCACGACAGGUUAGGAUUUUUGGGGUGUGACACUCGGGACCACAACAAAUCAUACCAACAAGUCCAAACAAAAUAUCCAAACUUAUCCAAAAGCUCAAAACACCACAAAUUACAUCAAAGCCAAAAAUCUAAGAUCAAAUCAUUCUCUUAACUUUCAAACCUUCAAACUUCGCCGAACGCGUUUGAGUCACACUUAGACAUUCGGGAUCACAACCAAACUUUGCACACAAGUUUCAAUCAACUACUUGAACUUAUACAAGGUCUCAAAACCAAAAUAGGAGUCUGAUAACACCAAAAUAUACUCCCGGUCACACCUAUGACUCUCCAAUUCUUCCAAUCGCGAACUUUCGACAAAUAGAACCAAAACCUUCUAGGAACAUCCAAAUUCAAGUCCGAACAUACGCCUAAGUCCAAAAUCAUCAUACAAACCUAUUAAAACAAUCAAAUCCUGGUUCCGAGGUCGUUUAGUCAAAAGUCAACCUUGGUCAACUCUUCCAACUUAAAGCUUCCAAAUAGAGAAUCACUCUAACAAAUCAAUCCUGAACCAAUCGAAUAUCAAAACCAAUCAUACACGCAAGUCAUAAUACACAAUAUGAAGCCAAUAGAAGUCUCAAAUCACAGAACAAAAUGUUAGAGCUGAAAACUUCAGGCCGAGUCAUUACAUUCUUCACCGCUUAAAUAUACGUUCAUCCUCGAACCUACACAGAGUCAUUCAAUAGUCAUCCAAUCAUUGUAUAAACCCAUCACACACAUACCCAUGGAUGAUCCCACGUCAUCACAAUCCAUAUAAGUCCAUUAGAACCACCCCGACUCAAGAUUCUUUCUUCAACCUUAGCACAUAAACCUUCGAACCAAUUUCCAACAUUCGGAAUUCCUUAUAAGAUCUAAUUCUCGUUCAAUUACGUUGUAUAAAUCUCAACAACUUGUAUCAAGCCAUAACUAUAUUCCCAAGAUAUAACCACACGAUGUACCACAUAGCUAAUGUACUCAUAGUAAUACCUUCCGACCACAUUAGCUGCCCAUUACCAAACCCAGUGCCAGUAACAUACCUCAUAUCAAAUAAAACCUUGUUCCAAACCUUCGAAACACUGCUAAUGAUAAAAUAACCAUGUAGAAAUUCAUAACUACCCAUCUAAUUAUCAAGUCAUGGAGCUCUGUCGCCCGACAAGAACCAUUACCAAACUCUAAGCUGACUACUGACAUUUUUAUCCAAACAUACCUUAUUCAAAUCUGAUUGCACUAAUUCUAGGUCCAGUAACCUCAUCUUACCAAGUACAAGAUGGUCGACCGACUGGCCACAUCAAAUGCCACCUAGCCACAUAAAAAGCAAUCCAUGCACCCAACAAGCAACAACUCGAAUUUAACCAAAGAUAGAAGGAGAAACAAAUAAGAGCACUAUCUAAUAAGUUCAGCUGGUACAACAACAAAGGCACAAUGCUAUGAUUCUAUCCCACAAGGGAGAAGCAAAACACACGAAAUAAGCACAAAGGAUCAUAUCCUAACAUAACUCCGCUUCGGCACGUAACCCCAUCCAACAUACCAAUCCACAUGGAAUACCCAUCGAGCCAUAAUGCUCAGAAUCAACAAACACAUGUAUAUCAACAGCAAACACGUGAAGUACAUGACUGUAACCAUGGAGAAAUGGAUUGAACAAUAUACCACAGAGAUGAAAAGCACGACUAAGGUGAAAUAAGCAACUCAACAUCUCAAGAGCCAUCUCGCUCAAAUCUCGCCACAUGGCAUAAAUAGAACCGCAUCAUGCGUGUGAAUAGUCAAGUAGUGUCACAACCCAUUGUAGCAUAAGAGAGUAACACAUUGAACAUAUCAAGACAUGAAUAAGAUCAACUCUUUCCAAUGACACACCCCAGUAAAUGUUGUGUUUAGUAAAUAAACCCGAGCUGAUGUACGAUACACAUUCUCAUUAAUCCUACCAAUGGGGCCUUAAGUCAAUUCCGAUCAUCCCAAAAUAGGUAAACAACCUUCCAAAAUUCCACAAUGACUUAUCCAUAACACAUGCAAUCAGCUCUCUAACCCUUAACGUAGUGCAACCAAGGAAUAGUCUGCCUCUAAGAACAACUAGACUCUAAACCUCAAUAAUACAGAAUCUCUAUAUCUGAUCUCUAAUUUCCCCGCUCAAAUGACUAAUACGUUACUCAUACACAAUUACAUCAUGAGAAGUACUCCCAUAAAACAUGCGUGCCAUAUGGACAAACUUGAAUAUCAACAAUCACCAAUCGUGCGAUAUCUGAAGUACUAGUCAAGCAUCUGCAAGUAAAAAAAAUGCAUUUUUUACAACACACACACUUCUCACAUGAAACCAGAUUGUGCCGGCAUUAUCUUAAAAAUCUAAAAUCUCCCAUGCUGACUAGAACUCAUGACCUUCCUUUCGGAAUUGAACUGUAAUCUUGUCCAUGCAAUCUCAAUCUCAAAUUAUGCACUGCAUCUAUCACGCUAACAUAUGAAAAUGCAAGAAUCUCAUAAUCAACUCUGAAUCACAAGUAAGAUAGACACUCCUUCAACUAGAAACCUUCUAAUUAACUCAAUCUAGGAGAACAUCGCAACAUGCAACAAACCUUCCAUACCUAUAGAAGCCAUCAGCCUCAAGUUGUGGUCAAAACCAUCGUGAACUCUUCAAAACCCCUCUGCAUGUAACUAAGCCAUUAGAACUAAAUCCUUCUAAAUCAACCAAGUCACGCAGACUCCCAAGUCCAAAAGUAUUGCCAAAAACACCUAUAAAGACCUAUCAUACCAAUGGAACCGAUCAUUCCUACUAUGGUGUUAAUCCAAACCACGGUUAAGCUGACCCAACUUCUUCAAAUUCCUCUUGACUUUCCAUCAAAAUAACACUUAUCUUUCCCAACACACUAUGGACCUCAAUCAAAACUCACUCCAAGUGAUCCCAAUAUGAAACCACAUCAUCCUAAGACCCAUAAUCCAAGUUAAUCCCUCUCAUGUACCCAAUAGCACCAGAAAUCCAAAUGCCCACUCUGAAGAGACCUUCUAGCACAUGUAUAUCAAAAAUGAAGCAACCAAGCGAUUCCUUUGCCUUGCACACUACAUCCACAACGAAUAUCAAACCUAAAUCAUUCCAAGAUCUCCAUAUACCCGUUAAGUAUAGUACAUAAUGCAUCCAUCAAUUUACUUGAACGAGUCAUCCUCAAAGUCAUCCUCUUUAAGUCAUAACUAAUCCAUAAACAUCCAUUAAUCCAGGAACUAAUAUAACACGUGACCAUGUGAUUCGAUCGUCGAUGGUAUACUCCCCCACUUGGCUUGAAGACACAAACACAUCAUCUGAUAACCCACAAUACUCUUCCUUCAUAACCACAAUGAUUUUGCACCAUCAUCCCGUUGAAUCUCCCGAUAAGCUCAUCCAACACUAGUCAUCUCACCUUUAAAAUCAUUCACCGAGUGCAUACUCAUCCUCGUGGAAGUCUUGCCAACUUUCUCAAGUGAUCCGAAUUCUAAUCAUAGCACAUACAUCCCACUAGAAAGAAGAUAAAUUUUUCUUAGAAAUAUCAUAAGUAUCACACAACCUCAAACCUUCCUGUAAGAGAUAACUCACCUGCUUAGCCUCAAACCGACAUCCUUUAUGACCCUACCAUGGUCACAACCACUGGAAAAUCAAUUAAUCUCUCUCGGGUCUACAUUCGUCAACAAGAUAUAAAAAUCCGAUUCAUUCCUCAAAUGAACAACUGAAAGACCCCCCAACAUAUCCAUAUCUUAAGACCAUAACACAUCAAGACAAAAAUCAAGCAUCCAUAGCCCUUUGCAUCCCAAGGAAAUCCUUCCCGUGAUAUCCAACUAUAUAGGUGUAGACCUCCGUCAUAUAAUACUCAUCACAUAGCUAUCUAGCCACUCAUUGAGCCAUCAAUCCCACCACUAAGGACACCACCGAACGUAAGACUACGAAGUCACAUACUUAUACAACUGAAUUUGCUGAGCCCACGCUGCAGUCCAAACCUGGCCUCAGGUCCUCUAGACUGGCCUACCUUCAUAACACAGAUACACAUCUCGCACAUUAUCCACAAAAUCACAAGCCGACAGUGCACAACUGAUACCAAGUGCUCAAUAUCACAUACGAGUGAAUGGAAAGAAACCAAAAAUAUUAGUUUCAAGCUAAAUCGAGGUCGCACGAUAAGGAAAUAAAGAAGGUGAAUUUGUUCCCCAAAUGACAUGUAGCCUCUCAAAUAUAAGUAGGGACGUCAUCAUACCAAUCCGCAUGCCUCUACCAGACACUUUCUCAUGACUCGUAAAACCUAUGAACCUAGAGCUCUGAUACUAGCAUGUCACAAUACAAAAUCCCACCAAGUUGUGAUGGUAUCUAACCCAACUCUCUAGAUAAGCCAAAUAAUGAAUAAUACAACUCAAAUGAAAGAUCAUCAAUAAUAUUUAAACAAGAUAUCUUAAUUUCAUACAAUUUCCCCAAGGACAGGUAGUACAAGUCAUCACCACUAGGAUUUAGAUUUACAAAGUUGGUAAAUACAACAUCUAUUUAACUAUAAAUAAGUAGAAGACGAAACCAAAACUACCAAGAACUAGUGGUAUCUUAAAUCUGAAAUGUAGGUACAUCUUCUAUGCCAGCCUCCAUCGUCCACGCAUGGUGCAGAAGUGUAGUAUGAGUACACCCGACCUCAUGUACUUAGUAUGUAUCCUGACUAACCUCGGUGAAGUAAUGAUAAAGUUUUAGGUCAAGCAUACUCACUUUACAUAACUUGUACAACACAAUAACAUAUACAUAUUCCCAGCAACAAUAUCGGAAUCUAAGCUUGAAGUCCAAACAAGACUAGUGGUGCACAUAGAGAAGAUACAUGCAAGCAUUGUAACCCACUAGCGGUUCAGUAUAUAGAGAUGAUAUGUAUUUGAUAUCAAGUAACUUGUAAAUAAUUUCAUAUAGAGAAGAUAUGAAUAUAAUAUCAAAUACCGUCAACAGUUGCACAUAAAGAAGAUAAGAAUAAAGUACUAAUAAUGCAUCAACAAUUGCAUAUAGAGAAGAUAUGCAUGAAUAAGAAAGUCAAGUUACAUGGACCGACAUAUGGAGAAGAUAUGUAUCGCGAAUUAUUUCUUCAAGUAAAGCAGCAUAUAGAGAAGAUAUGCAUAAAAGGUAUGUGUACAUUUCGGAGCUAGCAUAUAGAGACGAUAUGCAGUAAACAUUAUGUAUACAUCCAUGGAGUUUACAUAUAGAGAAGAUACACAAAAUCCAACUGCUAGCCAGUUUCCCUAAUCAGCAUGUACGUCUUCAAGGAGAAACACGAGAAGACGAUCCUAGGGGGAUGAAUCCUUAUUCACACGCUGCACGGAUAAAUCAUGUGGCUAAUGACUGUACGAACAACUCACCUACCAUAUUCAUAACAGUCGCACUGACAACUCACUUACCACAAUACUAACCAUCGCACGGAUAACUCACGUGCCAUAAUCUCAGUAACCGUACGGGCAACACACGUGCUAACAAUCCAGUCCAUCAUACAAAAGCAUGUACAAGAACAUAUGUACAUGGUCAACAAAUAUCAAAUCACAUACUCAUGGACAGAUGAAUAGCUAAGGUGUAUGCAUGUGUGAAGUGUACAAUUACAGCUCAGGUAGGGAGAGUACGCAUACAACAAUGAAUAUCAUGUUCAACAGGAGACCAAUACCUACACAUGAUCUCUAGCAUGAUUUACUGAGUCCACGUAGUCAUACAAACAUAUAAAGCAUGAUAGUAAGAAGCACAAUAUCCAAAUCAAUGCAUAGUACAACUUAAAGACUACCCCAGUCAUGAAUCAUAUAUAGCACCCAUAUAUAUGCUUGUCACCUUGAAUAUACUUCGCUUCUCACACAUUUCAAUUAGGCCAACAAAGUCAUAUCCUAAGGUUUAACAAGAUUAGGGAAUAUACUUACCUCAUCCAGGCUAGCCUUCAACCAAAAAUAACAUAGAAACGUCGUUUAAGCUCUCCAACCAUGCAAAUACAAGCUCAUCAACCAAGAAAGUCAAACAAUGCCAUAGGAAACGAUCCCAAUCCAUAAAUAUUUGAUAUUUCAAGAAUUCCCAAAAGGUCAAGAAAAUCCGACGCAGGCCCGCAUGCCCGGAAUCCAAAACCAAUACCAAAAUAUAUGAUUACUCAUAUCUUGCCGAGUCUAAAUAUUUAAUUAGAUUCCAAUAUUGAGUCCAAAUCGGUACUCAAAUACACUCUCUUAAAUUGUAGGCAAUACCCCAAAUAUUCCUUCAAAAUACCAUAUUCAUAGUGUAUAAAUCCAUGGGGUAAUAAGAUGUAUAAUCCAAUCCAAUUAGAAAUUACUUACCCAUAAAAUAGUAGUGAAAAUUUCCUCCAUAAUCGCCUCUUACCGAGCUCCAAAACUCAAAAUAAUGAGAAAUGAGUGAAACCCUCGAAAUAUUACCUCUUCCAGGUCCAUCGCAUCUGCGACCAAAAGAGCUGCAUUUGCAGCCUCCACUUCUGGGACCCAAGGCCCUUAUAUGCGAGCUACCUCAUCACCAGCCUACCUUCACACCUGCGAUGCACACGUUACAUCUGCGGCUCCGUAGGUACCCCCCUUUUUCGCAUGCGUGCCUUCGCAUUUGCGCUUCCCUUUGUCACAGAUGUGAAAACUUCUUGGCCAUCCGCUCCUCGCAAAUGCACAAACAACCCCGUGUGUGCAUCCCUCACACUUUCACACCCAGGUCUCAUAGGUGCGAUGAACCAGAUACCAGAAAAAUUCCAGAUAUACCAAAGUGAUCUGGAUCAACCCCGGAUCACACUUGAGCCCUUCGGAACCCUUUACAAUCAUACCAACAAGUCAAAAUAUAAUUUUCAAACUUCUCCAAAAGCUGUAAACACCACAAAUAACAUCAAAACUAGAAAUCAAAGAUCAAAUCAUUCGCUUAACUUACAAACUAUCAAACUUUGUCAAAUGCAUCCGAACCACACAUAAACAUUCUAGAGCACAACCAAACUUUGCACACAAGUUUCAAUCAACUAAAUAAAUCUGUACAUGUUCUCAAAAUCACAAUAGGAGUCCGAUAAUACCGAAGUUAACUCCCGGUCAAACCUAUGACUCUCCAAUGUUUCUAAUCGCUAACUUUUGACAAAUAGAGCCAAAACCUUCUAGUAACAUCCAAACUCAAUUUCGAAUAUACGCCCAAGUCAAAAAUCACCAUACGAUCCUGUUAAAAUCAUAAAAUCCCGAUUUCGAGGUCAUUUAUACAAAAGUAAAUCUUGGUCAAUUCUUCCUACUUAAAUCUUCCAAAUUUAGAAUCACUCUAACAAAUCAAUCCUAAAUCACUUGAAGUCUUAAAUCACAUAACAAAAUGCUAGAAUGCAAAAUGACCGGUCGGGUUGUUAUAAUAAACUCAUCAUACUCAUUAGUACGGGUGAUCUCAUAUCACCUCCAUCCAUCUAAUUCUAUUAACACAUUCUGACUGAAGAUUCCUCCUUCAACCUUAGAUUAUAAGCCCUUAAACCAAACUUUAAUACCUGAAACUUUCUCCAAGAUCCUACUCAUGUAUAUAUUCACUAUAUCAAUCCUAAUAACCUGUAUCGAGUCAUAAAUUUAAUUCCAAGAUGUAACAACUUGAUAUAUCCCAUAACUCAUAUUCCCAUAGCAAUAUCUUCUGACCACAAUAACUGUUCAUUGCAAAAUUCGGUACUAGUAAAAUACCCUAUCUCAAAUAGAUCCUUGUUCCAAGACUUCACCAUACUAAUAAAGAUGAAAUAAACCUAUAGAAACUCAAAAACACCCAUCAUAUCAACAAGUCAUAAAUUUCUCUCAUUUGGUAAGAAUCGUUGCAUGUCUGAGAUUGCCUAAAAGAAUUCUUCUUCCAAAUAUACCUUAUCCAAAUCCAAUCGCGCUAUCUCCAGGUUUGUUAGCUUUAUCUCAUGUAGUACAAGCUACCCGACCAAGUCACACCAAAUUCUACAUGAAACCUCAAUCUUCAUAGUUUGUGCACUAUACAAGAAAUAACCCAAAUAUGAUAAAUUUGUGAAAAGAAACUUAUCACCCUAUGACUCCUUGUGCCUGUGGUGUUAUUUCUCAACAAGUGUAUGAGUAUCUAUACAACUCACUCCAUAUGUCUGUUAUGCGACAAUUAAGCAAACUCAGCCAACUCAACUCGCACACCCAAAUCACUUGUCAUAACUGCCACAACUAUAUGGUGAGCUACCAUUCAAUAACAUUUGAUGGUAGAAAGUAUCCCACAUAACUUUAAUUCUUUGCAGACAUCAUAUUCAUAUGACACUUUGCACUAUAUAAGCAAAUUGACUUAUCGUAGAAUACACAUACUCAGCAGUCCUACCCGUUCUUAACCAAACUGAUUCCACCUUCUUAUAAAGUGGGCAUUAAGCCUUCCAUAGGUGGUUAAGGACCCACUCUAACUUACAUUCAUAGACAUAGAAGUAAUUUCUAAACCACCGCUGUCAACUGUGAAUAUAUACAUGCAACCCGUUCUCAACCCAAAUUAUCUAGAAGCUAUAUCUCGAACCAGUUUCCUUUAUGUUCCUCUAUCUGUGUCAGUCACUCAUGAUCUUCUAUAACCUCAUGGAAUCCAAUGCAUCAAACAUAUAAAUGUUUGUGUCUCUAAAGUCUUUACUUACCUUGUUCAUCAUCCCAUCACACAAAAAUAAUACCAACAACCUCUUGAACCAUACUCCUAAACCAAGACAUCCAAGAAGGAUAAUUUUACUAUAAUUAGGAAGUUACAACACAUCAAAUAUCGUGAACCACGAGUUUCAUCAAGCACAAUUCAUCUCAAGGUACCCACCAAAGACAUGUACGAUCAACUAUCUAAUUAUUAACACACUUUUACUGUCACAACAAAAGAGAUAGUCCAACCUGUAGAAAUCCAAUCUCUAUAUGUCAAAAGUAUAAUAUUCCUUAUCCUAGUGACCUAUACAUGCCUACUCAAACACAACUAUAAAGUUACACCUUCAAGCAUCUCAAAAUGUGUAUUUCCAUCAAUCCUUCCAUGUCUGGAAACUAUAAUUCGAAGCUCAAUGUCUAACUAUCACGCAAAUGCCAUAGUGCUUAAUCGAAUUGUCUAUACAUCCGAUCCAAGCAUCAUCUACAACACAUUCCCUUUCUUGGUGAUACUGAAAUCAGUAAUACUACACUUCUUAAGCAACUCAAAUCAUAUGUGAUAUCUCCAAUACCAAUCCUUCUACUCGAAGAUGAACUGCAACCUUUGCAAAUCCAUCCAACCCUCACACAACUCACCACAUCCAUCAUAAUUCCAUAUCUAAGUACAAAAAUCUCAUUAUCAACUCCAAGUCACAAGUAAGCUAGUCCUCCGCAUACACACUCCUUUUUCUAGAAACAUACAACUUAUCUUAACCAAGUCAUACAGGUUGUUAAGCCAAAAAGUCCUACUACAAAAGUGUCUGAAACCAAAUCUUACCAAAGAAAUCAAUCAUUUAUGUUACCAUUCUAGUCAAAGCUAAUGCUACUGGCCCAACUUCUUCAGAUUACCAUUGAUUUGCUUUUAAGGUAUCACUUUUCUUUUCCCAACACACUGUGGUCUUCAAUCGAAACUCACACCAACUAAUCCCAAUAUGGAACUACAUCAUCCUAAUAUCACCUAAUAUCCAUAGGCAUGUCUGUUCCCAUCUCACACAUGAUAGUACCACAACCAAGAUGUUCACUCUAAAGAGUCCUCCAACGAAUCAAGAAUUGUUACUUUCAUUUCUCUAAUGUUGCAUUGUAGAAUCAAUAAUGAUAUAGAAGUACUCUAAGUACUUGUCAUAAUCUAAUAGAAAUCUCAAAUUCUUAACCGAACAAAGUAUUCGGUGAAGUAUUAAGUAUCACAUCUUGGAACUUAAACCCACUAGAACUAUUCUCGAGAAUCACCCGCUCUGCUCGAGUCCUUGAUGCAUAGCCAAACAUACCAGACGACUUGUGAUCAAUUAGCACUUGAUUUCUCUAAAAGGAUCAACCUCGUCCUAAGGCAAUCGAGUGAAUUCUUUUUUCUUGCAAACUAUAUCCACAAAGAAUAUCAAACCCGAGUCAUCCAACAAUCUCCAUAUAUCAAUAAAGUGUAGUACAUCACACAUCUAACAAAUUUCUUUCCUAAGUCAUCCUUGAUGUCACCCUUCUUAUGUCAUAACUAAUCCAUUAGCAUAGCUUAAUCUAGGAACUACAACAACACAUACCUAUAUGAUCUAAUCGUCGAUGGUAGACUCUCUCACUUGGCUCAAAUCCAUAAUCACAUCAUCCGAGAGCUAUAAUAACUUUUCUUCCUUAACUAUCAUGACCUCGCACUACUCUUAAACUAAAUUUCUCAUAAGUUCAUGUAUUACUAAUCAAAACGCAUACUAUAUUAUCUGGUAAAUGCAUACUUAUCCUUAUGACAGUCAUGUCAUCUUCCUCAAGCGAUCUAACUAUUUUUGUAGUGUAUACAUUCCACUGGGUAGAAAGAAAACUCUUCAUAAGAACUUUAUCAGAUAUCACAUAUCCGCGGGCCUCAUCACAUGCGUUAGGCCCCCCUAUUUAGCCCCAGUGUAAUAUCUUUCAGUGACCUUACUAUGGUUACAACCUCUAUAUAAUCGAUUGAUUCUCCCCAGUCUACACUCGUCCACAAGACGUAAGAAUCUAUUUAAACCACUAAAGAAUAACUAAAAGGUCCAUCAAUACAUUCAUACCUUAAGAUUGUAUUGCACAACAAGAUGGUGAUCAAGCGUCCAUAUAUUAUAUGCAUCUCUAGUAAAUCCUUUAUGUCACGUCCAAACCCUCUAAGUACAGUCCUUAGGCAUAUAACACAUAUUACAAAGCCACCUUAUUAACUCUACCAGUUCAUUUUGAGAACAUCUUAUCUAUUUUAUUUUAAGGUUGCAAAAGUACCCACUCAAUUUUAUAGCAACAGACGGUGAAACAUAGCUAUCUUGCCGCUCAGUAUGCUAUCACUCACACUUCUACGAACACUACUGUACACACGAGUCCAACAUUACAUACUCACUUAACUAAGUCCCCCGAGCAAAAGCUGCAGUUCAUACCUAGCCAUAAGUUAUAUAGACUGCUCUGCCCUUAUAACACAGGAAAGCAUCUCAUACCCCAUAUGCAACAUCAUCACAAACUACCGGUGCCCAACUAAUAUCGAGUUCUCAAUGUCACAUACGAAUAGAAGAAAAUUGAAUAUUUAGACUUUAAGCUAAAACAAAUUUGCACGAUAAAGAAACAAAGAAAGAGAAGUUUCCUAGAUGCCGUGUAGCCUCUCAAAGAUAUGUAUAGACGUCAUCAUACCGAUUUGCUAGUCUUUACUAGACAUUUUAUCAUGACUCAUAGAACCUAUGAACCUAGGGCUUCGAUACCAACUUGUCAUGACUCAAAUCCCACUAGGAUCGUGAUGGAGCCUAAUACAGCCUGCUAGGUAAGCCAACCAAUAAAACACAGUUGUAAUUGAUGAUCAUCAAAUAUAAUAAAAUAAGAACACGAAGACUAAUACAAACUAUCCCAAAAACUGAUAGUACAAGUCAUGAGACAUUGAUAUUAAGAAGUCCAAUAUUGUUAUGAAGAAAAUACAUUAUCUGUUUGGAGUAUACAUAAACUGAAAUACAAAUCCUAAACUACGACGAACAAAAUGGUAGCUUGCAACUAGAACGCUGGCACAUCUUUAAUGCUAGCCUUUGGCUUCCAUAAAAGCUCAACUCUAAAAUUUACAUGCAAGGUGCAGAACUGUAGUAUGAGUACAACUAACCUUGUGUACUAAAUAAGUAUUAAGACUAACCUCAACAAAGUAAUAGCGAGGUUUAGUGAAAAUAUACUCACUUUAUAUAACUUGUGCAGCUCAUAAGCAUUUACAAUAAUAGAGAAAUAGCCAAGAAAUAACCAAACAACAACAGAUAUCAAUAAUAAGGUGUUCAAUUAAAAAUGAGAGUAACAAGCAUGAUUUUCUCAUUAACCAGAUCAAUGCAUAUAAAAAUGCACCAAAUCCGCAUGUAUAGGAGAUAUGAUCCAAGUAGCAAUAACUCAAAUACUUAUAAAUGAAUGUAGAGCAUCUAUCCAUGAUAAAGACCCAAUUUUAUGUUAAUUCCCAAAUAGCAUUUACACAAAUACUCCUAAAUGAGUCUAAAAUGUCUAUGCAAGAUGAAGACUCAACAUAUAAAUCAAUCAGACACUCUCCAACUUUCCAACGGUACACUAACAAGUCUCAAGUAAAUGUAAAAAGCAUGAAUGUGCAUAUAUCGAUGAUAUGCAAGAAUAUUUCUACAUGACUCUAGAAUGUCAAUCCAGCACAUCUCAUGUGAUCCAACAUGAUCCAACACAUCCCACGUGCUCCAACACAAUACAUGUAUCACCUACACUCAUAGUGCCUAAUGUAGCAUAUGUAAUAACGUGACUCCGGAGGGACAGAUUCAUAUCCAAGUACCAACACGGAAAUCUAGCACGCUAAAACAUAUUAAUAUCACAAUAACUGCACAGCAUAAACCAUCGUGCCAUAAUAAUAUCAAUAUUACAAUCACCGCACUGACAAUGCACGUACGUUAAUCAUCUCAACUACAUGGACAACUCAUGUGCCAUAAUCUCAGUCCAUAUAAGAGAACCAUAUCUAGGGAUGUAUGCAUAUGAAUAAGAGAUAAGCAUGUAUGAUGCACAUGUAUAGAAAAAUAACCAUGCAGGGAUAUAUGCAUGUGUACAAAAGAUGAUCUCUAUGCAUGAUAUAUGCAUAUGUAUAACGUAUGAUUGCAGCUCUACCAUGUAUCCAUCAUACAAAUAUCUGUCACGUCCAAAUAAAGCAUCAAAGUCCUAGACAUAAUCUCUAACAUGAAUAAGAAAUCUUAAGUACUCAUACAAAUAAUUAAAGCAUAUCAUAAGUAGAGCGUGUACGAAAAUAAGGUAUAAUAAAGCCUAAAAUCUAUCUUGAGCUUGAUAUAACCUUGGUGCCUGCAUAUACACUUGUCACGUCAGUUAUGUCUCCUCCAAAUAUAUAGCAUGUAGCACAUAUGCCCAUUUAAGAAAAUAUUCCCUCAAGUCGAAGUUAAGCGAAAUACUUACCAUCUCCGGGCUAGUCUUGAACCUCAAAUCCUGCAUUUCUCUUUGUUUUUGACCUCUAGUUAUCCAAAUCCUAGCCAAACAUCAUUCACGGAAAUCAAACAAUGCUAAAGGAAGCAAUGCCAAUCAAUAAAGUUUCGAUCUUUGAAGAAAUCUUAAAAAGUCAAAAAACAUAAAUAUGGGCCCACAUAGUCAAAACCCACAACCAAAACCAAAUCCCGUGACCCAUUCUUUCCCAUGUCCAAAUAUAUAAUUAGUAUUCAGAUCCGAGUGCAAAUCAAUAUUUAAAAUAACAAAAUAUACUCACUUAAGUUUCACGUCAAAACUGUAUUUUCUGCUCUUUUAAUCCUUGAUUUGGAUUUAAUACCUAUGGAUAUUUAUGAUAUAUAAUCAAUACUAAGUUAGAAACACAUACCCUCACAAUUUGGGUGAAAUCCCUCUCAAAAAUCUCCUUGAUCCGCUCUCCAAAACUCAAAAAUGGUGAAAAUAAGCUCAAUCCCGAAAUCUAAACUUUAAAUACCCCUAAAGCUAAAUCCUUCUUUACGAUCGCGACUGCCAUUUUGUUCUACGAGGCGUAUGCUCCUCAUGUGACUGCGAGGUUUAGCUUGGACCUCUUAUGCGAUCAUGGACCAUUCCCACGCGAUCGAGAUUCACUUUACCUCUCCUGGCCCAGUUCUUCUAGACAAUCGCAACACUUAGACAUGUGAUCGCGAUGCACAUGUGUGCACCAGAAAACUAAUAACUUUAUUCAAAAUGAGCCGAAACUACUCCAAAACUAAUCCGAACCCCCGGGACCUCACCAAGCCAUCUCGGUAAGUCCUUAUACCCUCCACGAACUUUUCCAAGACAUUAAAAUAUAAAUAAAACAUCAAAAACAAGAAUCACACAUCAAUCCAAAUUAUGAAACUCUCUUAACUUAAUGAAUUCCAACUUUCGACUAGAAGUGUCGAAUUAACCCUAGCCACCCAAGACCCAAACUGAAAAUACGUACAAGUCUAAAAUCAUAAUAUGAAUCUAUUGGAACCUUCAAAUUAUGAAUUUGAGCUUGGUUACCAUAAUGUUGACUUUGGCCAACUCUUCUUAACUUAAAGCCUCUAGUUGCCAACUAAGUGGUCUACAUCACUCCUGAACCUCUUGGAACCUGAACCAAUCGUACAUGUAAGUCAUGGAAUAUCAUAUAAGCCUACUCGAGAUCUCAAAUCAUGAAACAAGAUACUAUAGCUCAAAAUAACCGGUUGAUUCAUUAUACAAUUUUCCUAAUUUGAGCGUCGAUUAUCAAGGUUCUUUGAAGGGGAAUGGAGUGUUGCGAAAAGUGGUGGUCUUUGCCAAAUUAGAAAUUUAUCUCAAUUUGGGGCAUCUUAGGAGAAAAGUUUCUAAUAUUAAGCAUUGAGUCAAUAAGUUCUUUAAAUUAUAGUUGAGUCUGUCCAGUCUUCUUUAAAUAUAUUUGAGCCUUAUGUGUUGCCUCGGUCUGAGUUGAACAACUGGCCCUAGUUAACUGUUUGUAAUUGUUGUAUUUGUAUAUUUCCCGUUGGUCAGGGUUGUUAGGGACAACAGUCUUUGUAUUAGUAUUUAUGUAUUAGCGUAAUUGGAGAAUCUAUCAAAUAAUUUAUCCAAACGCUAUCUUUUUCAUUCUUUACUAUUUCAUUACUUUUCUAUUUCAUUACACGAUACAGUAGUGAAGCGAAAUUCCGAGAUAGUCUUCUGGAGACGCAUGCUAGGUUAUUUUGAUAUAAAUAAAAGUUCUGAGUAUAGUGUAAGGAUUUGUAACACUUAUUAAUUGUUGGGACAGGAAGCAAGGGUCCAAUAAAAAGAUCAAGGUUCCAAAGAAGAAACUGAGGAUUUGGGAGUUUUUUCUUCCCAAGUUUUUGUUUCUCUUUGUACUCGUGAAGUCUUAAGGUGUUAAUAUGUCUUUAUUAGUUGAAUUGAAUUCAUAUGGACUAACUUUAUUGUAGUUGAAUUUAGAUGAAUCUUAUGGGUUGAUGUUUCUCCCAAAUGCACACGUAAGUAUACAUGGUCAGCAAGUAAAAUAGUGAUGAACAGAGUGUCGAACCCAACUGACUUAUCAUUAACUACCUACUAAUUUCAACUACAUUUUUGUCAAGUCAACUCGGGCAAGUGGUUGAGUUGCUAUUAUUAUUACUAAGACAACACUUAGAACAAAGAACUAACUAGUACAACAGAAAAUUGGUUGUAGUUGUGAAAUUAGACUGAAAAAUUCUAGGGUUGGAUCAAUUUACCAAUCCUAUUAUGUUCUAGUUAAUUUCCUUUUAAUGCAAUUAGCUUAUGAUUGUUAAUUCACCGAAUCGUAUGUGCUAGUAGUACUCUUCCAAAUUACCAUGCGCCUGCCCAGGAUAGAUUAAUGCUUAUAUUUCUAUGAAAUUAAUCUACCAACAACGCAUUAUGAACACAGUAUUCGAGUAAGCAUGGUGACUAGGUAUAUAUUCUAUCCUAACCAUAAAUCUGCCCCCUACUUUAGAUUUAAGAUCAUGCCUUUUUUAAUUCUUCUCUAAUCUAAAUGUAGCUUUAUCAAGCAUGAUCUAGAUAGUUGAUAGAACUUGACCGUUGGCCAGACAAUCAAAAAAUUAAAUACAGAAUCAAAGAAACAACCAUAUAAUAGCAAAUUAUAAUUCAGAUGAAGUUAACGUCAAAACACAAUAUUCAUAGCUAAUCACAACCCAGAACUAAUGGGUCUUAGCCAAACAUGAUAAUAUUAAUCAAAUUCACAAGUGUUUGAAUGAUUGAAAAUACUAAAAAAAAUAAAAGAAAACUAAUAAUCCUUUCUCCCAAGUUCUCCUCACGUGUAAUAGGCUCUCAAAGUAGCAUCUCCCCCUUCAAAUUAGGUUUAGAACUCUUUUUAUACAAGUUGGGGUUGUGUACAGCCGUAAAAAUCAAGUCCCAGGUGAAAUAGGAGAAAUCCUGGGCUCAGCAGCCCAGGGCCGUGCAUUGAGAUGUCGUAGGCUGGACUGGGAGUUGAUAAAUUUGGAUUGGCCUCCAACGCCUCAGGUAGCGUGAAGUGUUGGCGUAAGCACUGCGCUGCCUCCUUGUGCUUUUUCUUCUCUUUUUUCUCUAUUUCUUGCCCUCUCAUUCCAAAUUGCUUCGAGUUGGCUCCUACACAUCACAACACUAACAUUUUAGUUCAAUCUAUCAUAACAUAUGUGAAAUUACAUAAGAUUCUAGUAAAAUGUGAGGUGAUAUGUAUAUUAAUAUGUAUACUUUUAGCUGAAUAUCAACACCCCGCACUUUAACUCAUGCUCGGCCUCGGGCAUUAUAAAUCUUUACUACUCCAACAAAUUCAACAUAUCAUAUCACGAAUGAGCACAUCACCAUUAAACACCCACAUUAACCUUGACUAUGGUUGAUACGGACGAUUAAGCAUAGGCAUACAACAUUUACACCCUUACCAACAUCAACAUGCCAAAGCGUAAGUAGCCCACUUCAAUGAAUUCAAACAACCUACCCAUAAACACCUUAGCUCAAAGACCAGCUCGUCACCACUAAGCAUCCUCAACUCGCGCACUCACUCACCCAAUAAGAGAAGUUUAAUAACGUUAUCUGUUUGUCAUGAGACCAUGUGCCCUCACUAUAGAACACCUUAGUGGAUACAAAGAGAGCUCACACAUUCAAAUACGAAAUUCUUAAGGACAUCGCACAUAUGAAUAAAAGUCACUCACACUCAUAAAGAAUAUCAUGUGCAUCCCGAAGUCCUACAAUAGGUUUGCCCGUAGUAUAUGUCUCUUCUAAUUUAAGCUUGCAAAAGUGCAGGAUGAAUUAGGUCUUUAUAGGUUAUAGUGUAGGCUACGGGACGAGUAGGAUAUAUUUUGGAUAUUAGUAAAUAAUCCUCCUAAGCACUUUAAUACACUACACUUAACUUUCAAGCACACAUUCUUCGUAACCAAUUCAAUACCUUGGCACUAAUCCAUACACAAUUUAGCACCUUUCUUUUAAGCACAUCUAUGUCUUUACUAGCCCAACUUAAGAAGAAUAGGAUAUAUAUUCUCUCUUUUUCACAUAUCACCUUUUUAUUUUCAUUCACAUUUCUUUAUUCUACUUUUUUCUUCUUUUGUUUUCUUUUUGAAACACUUUCCUUACGUUGAAUUUCUUGGCUAGUUAUAUUCAUCACAAUUGUGCACCUUUUGGCCCUUCCAUGGUUCCACUCAAAAGCUACUCCCAAGAUCUCACCUUACUUCUUCUAGCGAUUUAAAUGCCUUCAGAAGUAAAAGUUCAACAAGCUUCAGUUAAGAACAAAAAAUGGAGAUAUGUCUUGUAAUGUGGGUUCCAAAGAAAGGGUUUACAUGCUCAAAUGGGCUCACUACGGAUAAGUUAUCUAUGGUUGGCAUGUGAAUCAAUUAUCAAUUAAAGAAAUGCCUCUGCCAUCUCCCAGAUUAUCACAACAUAAUGAUUUUUCUUUGACUAACACAACUUAAUAAUUUUGCUUUGAAUAACACGUGGGGCGCAUCCUAGACUAACACACAAUAGCACAGAAUAUCAACUAAACCUCAUAUUGCACAAUGCACCUGACUCAAUCAAGGCAGUUUCUUUCCAACUCUCGAGUCAAAGUAGUGGACAUAGUUGAGAAACAUUAAGCAAUAAAGCACUAAAUGACAUAUGAGCCAAGAAGUUGAGAAGUGGCUUCACCAAGUAGGCUAUUCUGUUUAACUAAGGCAUCAAUUUUCAUACAAAACCAAUCGGGGAAGUAGGUCGCAUGCCACAGCCUAAAUAUGCCAACAUCAUACACGUCAAAAAAGGUAUCUAGUAGUAACUCAGGUUUCCUUCCUACACUAAUCCUGCGAAGGUAAAAGUUCCCGAUUAAAUAUAAAAUCCCUUUGAAAAGGACCGAGGCCAAAGAAAAACGAAGAGGGAUUAAUACAUAACUCCGGCCACUACAAAUAAGAGAAAAUAUUUUUGGUAUUUUUUAUUAGAAAUGUCACGACCCAAACUCCAACCAGUCAUGAUGGCACCUAUCCCAACCCUCUAGGUAAGCCAAGUAACAUUCAUCACAACUCAUAUGAGAAUAAAAAAGAUUAAAUGAGUAAAAUGACUGAAUUUCUAAACCAACUUCCAAGGCUUGGUAGUACAAAUCAUGAGCUUCUAAGACUUAGAAUUUCAAAGCUGGUACAAAAUAAAUACAUCAUAUGUUCAAAAUAUACAUAAUCAAAUUUGCAUUUCUAAAGCUACCAAGGAUAAGUGGCAGCUAUAUCCUGAAAGCAAGUACAUCUUCAAUGCCAGCUCCCGCCAUACACAGCAACAUCAGCGCCUAGAUCUGUACGAAAGGUGCAGAAGUAUAGUAUGAGUAUAACCGACCCCAUUUACUCAAUAAGUAACAAACCUAACUUCAGGUUGAAAGCAGUGACGAGCUCGAAAGAUAGCCAAAGUCCAACAUCAAAAGCUAGUAACAACUCGUAAUAAUAUAAUGAGGGAAUUAAAGGAAAAUAACUCAAGUGAUAUAUGCUCGGCUUGUUCACAGUUACGGAAAAAGUAGGCAUGCUUCACAAGUAUAACAGUCAAGUCUUACCACCGAAAUCAACUAAACAAGAACCGAAAUCAACUAAACAAGAAUUCCAUAUCCCCAUAAAGUGUAAUACCUCAUGCAUCCAUAAAUUGUCUUGCUCAAGUCAUCCUCAAAACCAACCUCUGCAAGUCAUAACCAAUCCACAAGUGUACCUCAAACCAAAACAAACAUAAUACAUGACCAUGCAACUUUAUCGUCGAUAGCAGACUUGCCGACUUGGCUCGAAACCAUAGAACAUAACAUCCGAUAACCACAUUAUUCUUCCUUAGUCCACUAUUUCAGGAUAUCACACUGUAAUUCAAAAAUAUCCUUCAUGAACUCACGUAGCAUUAAUCAUAGAAAUAACUCAAAUCAUCUACUAAGCUCACAUUACUUCUUGUGAUAGUCAUGCCAACCUCCUCAAGCGAUCCAAACUCAAUUGUAACACAUAUAACUCACUGGUAAGAGAAAACUCUCAACAGAAACAUCAUAGGGAUCACACAACCUUAGAACAUCCCAUAGGAGAUGAUCCACCUACUUAGCCUCAAACUAGCAUCUCUUUACGCCCUACUAUAGUCACAUCCCCUAUGCAUUCACUAAAUCUUCCCGAGUCUAAGCUCGUCAACAAAAUAUAAGAAUCUACUUCAUCCCACAAAUGAACAACAUGAAAGAUCCCUCAACAUGCUCAUAAAUCGAGACUGUACAACACAUCAAGAAAGAAAUCAAGCAUCCAAUAGUUCUUUUUCACAUCCCAAGAAAACUCUUCUUGUCACAUCCAAAUGAUCUAAACACACCUCGUAAUCACAUCAUACUCGUCAUAUAGCCAUCCAACAAUUCACCGAGUCAUAAAUCCCAUUCCUAGAGACUCUACUAAACAUAUAAGUCCAAAAGCAUAUGCUUACACAACUGAAACCACCCAGCCCAAGCUACAGUCAAAACACAGCCUCAAGUUCUCCAAAUUGGGCUAUCACCAAAAUACAGAAAAUACAUCUUGCACCCUAUCCAUGGAAUCACAAGCCGUCGGUGCACAGCAAAUAUCGAGCGCUCACAUAACAUACGAGUGAGUGGAAGGAAUUCAAAGAGAUACGCUUCAAGCUAAACCAAUACCGCACGAUAUGGAAAAAAAGAUGGGAGGUUUAUCCUAGAUGCCCUGUAGCCUGUCGAAGAUAGGUAUGGACGUCGUCAUACCGAUCCGCAAGACUCUACUAGACACUUGCUCAUGACUCAUAUAACCUAUGAACCUAGAGCUCUGAACCCGCUAGGUAAGCCAAGUAACAUUCAACACAACUCAUAUGAGAAUAACUAAGAGUAAAUUAGUAAAAUGACUAAAUUUCUAAGCAGACUCCCAAGGCUUGGUAGUACAAGUCGUGAGCUUCUAAGACUAAGAAUUUACAAAGGUGGUACAAAAUAAAAACAUCAUUUGUUCGAAAUAUACAUAAUCAGAUUUGCAUUUAAGUAUAAGUGGCAGCUAUAUCCUGAAAGCAGGUACAUCUUCAAUAACAUCUCCUUCCAUACAUGACAACAUCGGCACUGAGAUCUGCACGCAAGGUGCAGAAGUGUAGUAUGAGUACAACAGAACCCAUGUACUCAAUAAGUAACAAACCUAACUUCAGGUUGAAAGCAGUGGCGAGCUCGAAAGAUAGUUGAAUUCCAAUAUCAAAAUAUUGUAACAACUCGUAAUAAUAAAAUGAGGGCAGUAAAGGAAAAUAACUCAAGAGAUAUAUGCUCAGCGCUUUCACAGUUACGAAAAAGUAGGCAUCCUUCUCGAGUAUAACUGUCAAGUCCAAAUCUUACCACCGAAAUCAACUAAACAUGAUUUUAUCAAAAGAACCGUAUUAUCAAUUCACAACACAAGAUAAGAAUUUUCGUUCACCAAUUAGCAUGAGGAAAGUACAUCUCUAUGCCUACAUGUCAAAUAUAUAUGUCAAGUGAUCAAUUAUCAGAUACCGUCUAGCAUAAGGAAUAUACAUCUCUAUGCCUAUAUGCCAAAUAUACUUGUCAAUUCAUCAAAUGUCAUAUUACCGUCUAGCAUGAUGAAGAAAAUGCAUCUCUAUGCUUAGAUGACAAAUAUCCAUGUCAACUCGAUAUUAUCACAAUGAAACCAUCAAGAAUAACCACACUUAGCACACUCACAGAGCUUGGCCCAAUGCCCUUACCAACGCACACAACAAUACUUAGCACUGUACGGGUGCCUGGCAUGAAUGGCCAUCACUAAAGCACGUAUAUAAAACAUUGUGUCUGUGCCCACUACUGGCAUGUCAGACUCUGGAGGGCGGAUCCUGCCCAUGCACUAAUGAUAAGCCAAUAUGGUUUAGUGCACGCGUAGCCUCAAAAAUCAGUAAUACUUAGCCCAAGAUGAGACAUGGCGUACGCAUCACCUUAAUAACUACAUAAUUUUGCGGCGUGCAACCCGAUCUUACAUAACUCACAUUACGACUCUACGGCCCACAUCAGUCAUCAUUCCGCUCAAAUUUCAUAUAUCAACAUAUCACAGGAACACAAUCCAAUCAUGUAGCAAGGAAUACCACAAUGUGCCUCAAAUAUAGCUCAGACUCAUGUCACAUACGAAGACACCAAAAACAUGUGAAAUGGCAUAUCAAGAAUGUACAGAGGCAGAGAUAUAAAAUGCGGAAAUAACUAUCAUGAUUGAAAUAGUGUGACUACGGCUAAGGUAAAUAGCCCAACAUGGAAGAAUAACUCUAACAUGUCUCAACAACUAAGCAGGUGGCCUAGUCAUGGUUUCUAGCUUGAAUAAUAACUCACGUAAUCAUAUAAAUGAAGGAAACAUGAUAUCAAAGAAGUAUGAUAGUAAAACAAGGCACAUAAUAGCCUAAGAACUACCCAGAUCCUGAAUACCUUGGUGCACGCACACAUGCCCGUCUCCUAGCGCAUCCGUCACCCCCAAACCCAUCUCAAAUAUCAUAGUUCUCAUGUAUAAUUACCCUAAAAUCCAAGUUUAGAUAUGUUACUUACCUCGAAAAUGCCAAAUCAGAUACCGAGCAAGUAAAAUAAUACUCCAGAAAUGCUAUCCCGUGCGAAUCAACUUCUGAAUGGCUUGAAUCCAAAAGCAACUCAAAUACAUCAAAUAAUUCCAAAGAAAACAAAACCAAAUGACAAAGGCCGAGUCUUUAAUAAAGCACUCAAAGUCAACAAAAAAUCUACCUCAAGAUCGCACCUCGGAACCUGACAAAACUCACAAUAUCUAACAACCCAUUCAAUUACGAGUCCAACCAUACUAGUUUAACUCAAAUCCGACUCCGAAUCGAUGUUCAAAACUCAAUUAAUCACUUGAGGAAAAAUUUAGACAACCCCCCCCCCCCCAACAAUUUCUCUUUUAAAUUCAUCAUUAAAAUGCAAAAAUCAAAGAUGGAAUCACGAAAUAUAAUCAAAUAGAGUAUAAAAGACUUACCCCAAUACAUGUGGUGAAAUUCACCUCCAAAAUUGCCCAAAUCCGAGCUCCAUAACUCAAAAUGUGAUAAAAUGACCAAGACCUUCGACAUAGAGUACUUUAGACACUGCUCCAGGGGUACCCUUCGCGAUCGCGGUCAUAUACCUCACGAUCACGAUUCCAAAAUUGUCCAGCACAGUUCUUACCCUUCGCGAUCGCGUUGUUUUCCCCAUGAUCGGGAUGAACAAACUCCAUCACCUUCCUAAACUAUUUCCAUACAGCCUGUAGUAUAACGGCCAUAGCUUUUUGUACGAAACUACAAAUGACAAACAGUUAGAUUUUCUGAAAACUAGAAACAAAGGUCUAUAACUUUAGUUUUUGGAUCACAUCUAAUUUUCUUAUAGAUUGCAAGAUAUAUGCUCCCAAAGGAAGCCCCACGACAACAGAAAUAUUUCUACGCGAACGCGAGAAUGGCUUCCGUAAUCGCGAUUUACAAGCCCCAAGCAGAAAUUUGCUUUUCGCUAACGCGACCCCAAGGUCUGCAAUCACGAUUCAUACUCCUAUAGCCAAAAACCAAUAGCUAAAAAGUGCCUAGAAAUGGUCUGAAAUCACCCUGAAACUCACUCGAGCCCCUCAGGACCCCGUCCGAAUAUACCAACAAGUCCCAAAGCAUAAUACAGGCCUACUUGAGGCCUCAAAUCCUACAUAAUAAUAUCAAAAUCACUAAUCGUCAAUCAAGGUCAAUCUCUUAAGUUUCAUAAACAUCAAACAUCGAACCAAGCAUCUGAUUAGAGCCUAACCAAUCUGGAAUCCAACCAAACUUUGCACACAAGUCCCAAAUGACAAAACGAACAUAUUCUAACUUCCAAACAACAACCCAAACCCGAUAAUCAUAGGAAUCACACAACCUCGGAACAUCCCACAUGAAAUGACCCACUCGUUUAGCCUCAAACUGUCAUAUCUUUGUGCCCUACCAUAGUCACAACCACUAUGCAUUCACUAAAUCUUCCCGAGUCUAAGCACGUCAACAAAACAUAAGAAUCUACUUCAUCCCACAAAUGAACAACAUGAAAGAUCCCUCAACACGCUCAAAACUCGAGAUUGUACAACACAUCAAGACAGAAAUCAAACAUCCAAUAGUCCUUUUUCACAUCGCAAGCAAACUCUUCUCCUCACAUCCAAAUGAUCUAAACACACCUCGCAGUCACAUCAUACUCGUCAUAUAGCCAUCCAACCACUCACCAAGUCAUAAAUCCCACUCCUAGGGACUCUACCGGACAUAUAAGUCCAAAAGAACAUGCUUACACAAUUGAAACCACCCAGCCCAAGCUACGGUCAAAUCCCGGCCUCAAGUCCUCCAAACUGGGCUAUCACCAAAACACAGAAAACACAUCUCGCACACCAUCAAUGUAAUUACAAUCCAUCGGUGCACAGUUGAUACCGAGCGCUCACAUAACAUACGAGUGAGCAGAAGGAAUUCAAAGAGAUACGCUUCAAGCUUUAUCAAUGUCGCACGAUAAGGAUAGAAAUAUGGGAGGUUUAUCCUAGAUGGACAUCAUCAUACCAAUCCGCAAAAUUCUACUAGACACUUGCUCAUGACUCGUAGAACCUAUGAAGCUAUAGAUCUGAUACCAGCUUAUCACGACCCAAACUCUCGCCAGCCAUGAUGGCACCUAAUCCAACCCACUAGGUAAGCCAAGUAACAUUCAACACAAUUCAUAUGAGAAUAAAUAAGACUAAAUGAGUAAAAUGUCUGAAUUUCUAAACAAACUCCCAAGGCUUGGUAGUAAAAGUCAUGAGCUUCUAAGACUUAGAAUUUGCAAAGUUGGUACAAAAUAAAUACAUCAUCUAUUCAAAAUAUACAUAAUCAGAUUUGCAUUUCUAAAGCUACCAAGUAUAAGUGGAAGCUAUAUCCUGAAAGUAGGUAUAGCUUCAAUACCAGAUCCCACCAUAAAUGGCAACAUCAACACCGAGAUGUGCAUGCAAGAUGUAGAAGUGUAGUAUGAGUACAACUGACCCCGUGUACUCAAUACAUAACAAACCUAACCUCAGGUUGAAAGUUGUGACAAGCUCAGAAAAUAGUCGAAGUCCAACAUCAAAAGCUAAUAACAACUCUUAAUAAUAUAAUGAGGGCAGUAAAGGAAAAUAACUCAAGAGAUAUAUGCUCGGCUCGUUCACGGUCACAGAAAAGUAGGCAUGCUUCUCAAGUAUAACAAUCAAGUCCAAUCUUACCACCGAAAUCAACUAAACAUGAUUUUAUCAAAAGAACUAUAUUUAUCAAUUAGUAUGACGAAAGUACAUCUCUAUGACUACAUAUCAAAUAUACAUGUCAAGUAGUUAAUUACCAAAUAACAUCUAGCAUGAGGAAUAUACAUCUCCAUGCCUAUAUGUCAAAUAUACUUGUCAAUUCAUCAAAUAUCAUUUUACCGUCCAGUAUAUGGAAGAAAAGGCAUCUAUGUGCCUACAUGAAAAAUAUCCAUGUUAACUCAGUAUCAUCACAAUGAAACCACCAAGAAUAACCACACUUAGCAAACUUAUGGUUCCUGGCCCAAGGCCCUUACCAACACUUAGCACAAUAUGGGUGUGUGGCAUAAAUGUCGAUCACUAAAGUACGUACACAAAACACUGUGUCUGUGCCCACUGCUGGCAUGUCGGUAAGGCCCCGUAAAAUUUUGCCAAGGAAUUUAAGGUUUCGUGGUGCCGAGGUAGGC
rnacentral:lncRNA from 1 species